rnacentral:lncRNA from 1 species
CACCGCGGUGGUUCCCAUGGUGGAAACUCGUUGUGGUGAUGCCGCUCCCCUUAUUGUCGCAUUUUGCCUCAUGGAUCUCCGCAAUCCCAUUUCUUGUAUAUUAGAAUUUUCAUUUGUGGAAUUUUCUAAAUUUCUAGCCAUUAUAUUUUGCUUAUACGUUUUAUUAAAGAACCUUUGCAAGUAAAAAAUUCUAAUAAUAAGAACGUAUGAAAAAUAUUCAAAUGGACUAAAAAAUAAAGAAAAAACCUUUUUGUGCGAGAGUCUUCUACGAGUAUGGAUUUCAACUCUCAAUGAAAGCACCAAUUUGUGGAUGCAAAUUUCUUCCUCCUCGAUCUUGGACGAUUUUGCACCUACAAAACAAUUAACACCUUAGGUUAAGGCCAAGAGCCUCACGCGCCACGAUGAAUGGGGGGGCUUUGGCCGAAGAACCUCCGAUGCCAAAGUUAGAAUUUAGAGAGAAAGAGUGUUUAGAGAAUUUUGGGAUUUUUGCCAAAGUGUUGGAAUUAGCUUUUUGGUGAGAAUGGGAGUAUAUUUAUAGGGAUAGGAGGUGGCUAGGGUUUUUAGGUUUAAUUUAGGUUUAAUUAGCCAAUUUAUUAUGAUAAAUUUGCUAAUUAAACAUAAAGGGAAUAAAUUGAUGGUUAUAGAAUCAAUUAGCUAGCUUAAUUGGGGUAGUAAAGUGGGAAAAGAUAGGGAAGGUAGAAAGCUUAAGGGGAUGGCCGGCCAUGUGAUGUUUUAGGGUUGAAUUGGUUGUAUUUUGUGGUUAUUUGGAUAUAAUGGAUGGUUUAAUUGAGAAUUAAUGGGUUAAUUAGGCAAUAAACCCAUUAAUUAGCCAAUUAACAUAAUUUAAAAGGAAUGUGUUUGGGAAUUACCUUGUAGAAAGGAUUUGAUGAGAUGGACUUUGAAUUGUUACCUAUUUUGGGCACUUCUGUCUUGGUUGAAAGAGGGUUGCCCGCUGCUUGCGCGUAGGAACCUCGUUGUACUGCAAGGGUAUUUUUUUCCUUUUUGUCCAAAAAACCCACGUGUCGCCUUGUGAAUAUUUUUGGCUCCACAAUAAUAUCAUGUGCAAUUAAAUAAAAACUACAUAUUCAUGCUAAGGCUCAUGACCUUGCCCUGAAAGUUAAUUACACAUAUGCAUAAUUGAAAUCAAAGGAAUUUUAUUGAAAUAGAAAAAGAGCGAAAACAUCUUGUAGAAUAAAAUCUUCAAUUCACCAGAGCCUUCGGUAACCUUCUCAAAUUGUGUGCAAAGAAUUCCUAAGGCCAACCACCUUUAUUUAUAGUACUACAAUCUAAAUCCUUCCUAGAAAAGGUCUUAAAAUAAAACUAGAAAAGAAAAUAAAUUAAGAGAAACUAGGAAACAAUCUCUUAGUCAACAAAUGAGAAUCUGCCAUCAAACUAAUCAGCCACGUUUUUGAUUCAAAACAGCUCCAAAACAGGCCCAAGAUAGCUUAUUUUGAAGCUUAAGAUGUCUUGAACAUAUUUCCAGAAGUUGGAACCAAAAGAGACCAUCUUGGACACCAAAAAGCUCAAAUAAGCCAAAAAACGUCAUUUUUGCUCAGGAGGAAGUCACAUGUUCUACGUUGAAAAUAUAGGGUAAAAUAUAUAAUAUGAAAUCGACUCAUCAGCAACCCAGACGAUGUGUGAUAAACUCUCAGAAGAGAGAGAGAGAGAGAGAGAGAGAGAGAUAAUUUUCAUAAAUUUGUGUACUAUUAAGAAAACCAUAUGGUAAAAAUGAUUCUCAGUACAUGUAAUUAUAACAGCUAAUAUAACAAUAUUUCAACGUACGUGUGUAGCAUUUCUAAACACGAGCAUAUGACAUGAAUCUGUUAAUAGUGCCCCCUCUAUCUCAUCUGGGCAACCAAUUUGAGAGGUGGAACAUGAAGGAUAAUUUUGUGAAAACAAGUUCAUUUAAGCAACAUCUAUAAGCAUGCAAUUAACAAUUAAAGACGGAAUCAUGCUUGCAUGCACUUAAAAACAAAACUUUAACCAAGAAAUUCAAAGCCUAGUAGAUUGGUGAACCAAAACUCAACUCAAAACAAAGUGAGUUGAAAUUGUACCUUUGUAGCUUCCUCUUUGCAUAAGCAAAGGCUAAUCACCCAAAGAGAAGGCCUUCAUUCCUUGCAUAUUAAAUCUAUGGAUUUGGAUGGAAGAAUAGGUUUCUCCAAGUUCCCAAAAUUGAGAACCUCUAAGUCUCUUCACCAAGGAGAGAUUGGAGAAGAAAUGAGUGACCUUGGAGUAGUGGGAUUGCAAGAUGCACCCCCCAAGGUGGCCGGCCUCUUUAGAGACAAAUGGAGAGACAAGUUCUCACCAAUUUUCUCCAAACAAACCCUUAAUGAAUUUUGGCUAUAAAGUCAUAUUUAUAACUUUAUUCAUUUGAGUGGCAAACUUGUAAAUAAGUCCAAGUUCACUACCCUAACCAAUAUGGCCGGCCAUUAGGAUAUUUUGGACUAAUUGGGCCUUUGUGAAUCAUUAUUCAUUAAGUUGUCAUACAACUUAUGUUAAUGGGCUUGACGUUCGAAGCCCAUUGGGCCUUAAGGUCCAAAACUAUCCCGAGGUCUUUAACGAACUUAUUCGUUUGAUUAAUUAACAUAUUAAUUAAUCCUUGCCAUAAAUAAAUGAUUAAACCAUUUAAUCAUUCUUACUCAUCUCCAUUGUUUCUUCAAUCUCCUCCUUACAUGGUGUGCGAUCCAUUAGGUUCCUUUUAGCGAGGCAGUGGGCGAUUAAAACCAUUUUACAUCGACUGUGAAUUGAAAACUUACUUUCAAUUCUCCCUUUAGUGAUUACACACGUUUAGGGCUUCCACAAACCAUGAGUGACACCUUGCAGCAUAUCAUGGUUACCCAAGCUAAUCAGAAGAGGUAGAGAAAACCUAUUCAGUUUGGGAUUACAAAUGCAAUACGGUCUUUCUCUAAUCUAAUACUCCUGACCACAUUGUUUGGUUUGAUAGUUUAUUUAUUCAUGUCUACUAUCCAAUGUGAUUCGUGUGCUUAUAUGAUUUCCUUGAAUGUGAUUUAGAACGACUUUUCUAAAUCUCAUUCAUACUCUGGCCAGAGAUUCUAAAUCAUAUCAUAGAGUAUUCUCCCUCAAACGGUUUGAAGGUUAGAGAUCCCUUGUUGCGCAUUCACUUGCCUCCAUGACUAAGUGGCUUAACCCCAACAAUGCCGUGGACACCCCGAUGGGGUGACUUUGACAUAAUCAAAGAUCAAGGACUUAACCACAAGACAACUGUGAUGCCUCAGGUCAAAGGACUAAUUUGCAUUAUCCCAAACAUGAGUUCUCAUGUGACAUGAGUAUGAGAACUCUUCGUUGAUCGCGUUCAGUGAACUCAUUCUCUACUGAGCACCUACGUACUUGUCUUGAUGUCACACACACCAAUGACUCGAGACUAGUCACUCUCCCUGAGAGAAGACAUAGCACGUACCGAUCUUGACGGACUGUCAAUGCCCAAUUGGCAAUCCUAUGAUCAGGAACAUUCAGGAUGUGUCUACGAAAGAAUGGUCUCAUGAAUCUAACUUCAUUAGAUUACAUUCUCCCAAUCACAUAUUCCUUGGACUUUAUCGUUUAAGCAUAUAACAUUUAUAUGAGACGGCUCAAACAAUAAUCUAUGCCCUUUAUAUGUAAACUAGAUUAGUUUAACAUGUGAAAUGUCCGUAAAGUAUCAUCAUAUGAUUGACUUUAGGGCACAUUUCCAACAGAACAACGAUCGAAAGAGGAUGCAAUCACUUAGUCAAAAUAUCUGUAGUAUGUGGUAUGCAUUCAACUAGAACAUUUUGUAUAAAAGUAAUGCUACUUUUACCACAAUCUUCAUACCGCAUUUGUAUAAUCAUUUUAAUAAAAAGUAUAGUCCACCAACACGUAUGAGUCCAUCUUCAUUAAAAAAGUGGGACAAAUGUGAUUAAUUAAAAAAAUGUGGUAAGAAUAACAUUUUUAUUUAUUUUCUUCAUAUUUUCUCUAACAAGAAGAAAGUCAAUAUCCAAAUGUUUAUUCCCUAUAAUAGAAAGGCUUUGAAUUUAAUGUCAGUUUAGAUGUUGUGACAAAUACACAUGCAAAUCACACAAACUUUUCAUUUUUUUUUUAACAAACAAUAUUAUCUACACUAAGGAGAGGGGGUGAACUUAGCCUUACAAUGGGUUAACAACAAUGUGAUUAAAAAAACUUUACUUAUCCAUGAAAUAUUUGUAGCUAUGUUAAUCAAGGCAUGAUACUUUGCCUCUGUAGAAAUUCGACAAUAAAAACCUUGUUGGAAAUCUGGGGUGUUGAGCAUCAUAAUCUAUUGAAAAGCAAUUGGAAAUCAAUUCAAGUACAAGUGUGUCAUGUGUGAAGAACUGACCUCUAACUAAUCCAUCCAUCAUCUUAUUUCUCAAAUUCGUUUUACAAUCUACCUAGUUUUAUAACUUGUUUGUUUGUUUCAAAUUCGUCAAAAUCAAAACCCCCCUUUUACUUUCUUGUUUGUGGUUUUGAGUGUUUUGAUUCAAGUCAAAACACCGAAUUCGUCCAAAGUUGUGUUAGAGUCAGAAACUGCCCAGUUUGUGUUUUUAGGCAGUUUUGAGUGUUUUUAAGUUGUUUUGAGUCUUGUGAACCUGUUUUAAGUCCCUUGAGUCUAUUCAAACGUUAUUAACUUUGUUUGUGUUUUUGAGUCAGUUUAGAGGUUUAAGCAAGCCCUCAUAAUCCCCGGUUUAGAACCCCUACUUGCAUUUAUACUACGAUUUGACAACAAGAGGGUUUAAUUUGAGUGCUUAACUUUUAUCACAUCAAUUGAUUUCAGCUGGAUUGAAGGUACGUUGUGACUAUGACCUGGUAAUCUUAUACCUUUAAUUUCUUUUGGUUAACUGGUGUGUUUUUAUCGCCGAGAUAGGGAGAGAUUAAGGUUAUCUUUGCUGGGAACGAAUGGUAGAGAGAGGGAGCUAGUGAGGCUUGGGAGGGUACAAUUUUAAGUGGAUUAAUUGGGACUCGGUAAAUCUUAUACCUUUAUUUUUUUAUGUUCACCGGUGUGUUUUUGUCGGAGAGAGUGGGAUUGUGGGAGAAAGGAGCUGGGAUGAGAAAUCAAUUUCAAUUGGAGUGAAGGUGUGCUGUGACUGUGACCUGAAUCUUGUACCUUUAAUUUUUUUAUUUUUUUUUAUUCACUAGGUGUGUUGUUGCCGUCGAGAAAGAAAGGCAAAGAGAGGGAGCUGGUGAAGGGUAUGAAGGCUCAAAUUGGUGUGGAUUGGAGUUGUGAUGGUUAGUCGUUGAAGAAAUCCAGAACCUAUGUUAUAAUCCAUUUCCAUUCCAUUUUGGUAUUUAUAAUUAUGGGAUUUGAAUUUAUAAUGGUGGGUGGUUACCACUGGAAUUAAUUGGAGUCAUGAAAUUGGAUUUAAUAUAUAGGUGCAAAACUUGUGUUGGGUUGUGAUAAGUUGUGUACAUUUGUAGUAAGUAGACAUAGAAGUGUAAUUUGAUAGGUAAUGAGUUAGAAACAGACAAAAUUGUUGUGGAAAGGCAAGAUGUAGAUGGAGGGGAUCAAUAUAGUGUAGAGGAUCACUCUGGUGUAGGGAGGGUUGAAUUAGUUUUUCCAACAGUAGACGAUGAGUUGAAAUCGAAACUGAAAAUGAAGUUUGAGUCGUUGGAUGAAGGGUACACUUUUUACAACAAUUAUGCACUUGCAGCAGGGUUUGGGAUUCGGGAGCAUAAUAGUAAAAAGUCAGUGAUGGUGAUUGUUGGUCAAGUAAAGAAUUUGUUUGUUGUAAAUAAGACAAGAAGAGGGUAUAUGCUAAUCCCAAACCUAAUAAGAAAGGUAGGAGAAGAGAUACUAGAAUUGACUGCAAGGCAAAAUUUAUGCUGAAUAAGGGAAUUGGUUGUGAAAAGUUUGAUGUAAUAGUUUUUAGUGAAAGACAGAACCACCUUAUGUUAAGUGCGUCAGACAAAUUUAGAUCACAUAGUCAGGCUUUAGAGGCAAAGAAGGUGAUGAUUGAACAAUGUUUGUAGGCCAACAUUUCCUUAAGUAAACAAGUGUGUUUAUUGGAGGUGCAAAAUAUAAAGGAUUGGAAAUAUUGGUUGCACCCCUAAGGAUAUGUAUAGCGCUGAACACCUGUGAACUCAUUUGCAAAAUGUUGAAAGAGGAUUUUGAAAAUGAGAAAGAGAAAACCAACUCAUUUUAUUUCAAGAUGGAGAUUGAUGAAGGCGAAACACUUGGCAAUUUGUUUUAGGCAAAUGGAAAGUCCUGAUGUGCUGACGGCCAUUUUGGUGAUGUCAUUGUGUUUGACAUCAUUUUCUACACCAAUGUGUACGGGAUGAUGUUUGCUCCUUUGUUAGGAGUUAAUAACCAUGGUCAAAGCACGGUAUUGGGUUGUGCAUUCUUAAAAAAUGGAAAAACUGAGAGUUUUGAGUUAUUGUUUGAAGAAAUGCUUAAAGCUUUGUUGGGUGAGCCACCAUGUCAUAAUAAUGGAUCAAGAUGCAGCCAUAACAAAGGCUAUUGGCAGCAAACUACCAACCACCCUUCAUCGCUAUUGCAUAUAGCAUAUUAUUAAGAAGUUUAAUGACAAGGGUUAGCUGGAAGGCGUUUUCAAGGAGUUGCAUGAUUGAAUAUGGGAUAUCAAAACAAGAAUUUGAGGCAAGGUUCAAGGCGUUAGUAGAAGAACAUCAGUUGGUUGGUAAAGCGUGGCUUGGGAACAUUUAUGAGUAUCGUGCAAAUUGGGAUUCGGCAUUUGGUAAAGACAGUUUUUCCGCCAAAAUGUUAAGCAGUCAACGUGCAAAAAGUUCUCAUUCCUUUUCCAAGCAAUAUGUGCAUAGGAAGCAGUCUUUGAUUGAAUUCAUCAUUAGGUUUAAUCGAGCCCUUGGAUGGCAACAUCAGAAAUAGGUGGUUGGUGACCAUAAUGAUGAAAACCGUGCCCCUUCAUUGCAGUUUUACACCACAAUGGAAGCUCAAGUGGCCAAAUUGUACAAACGGUUUAUGUUCAAAAAGUUUUAAAUGGAGGAAUUGAAGAGUUUGACUUGUUUCUUGAAGGAUAAGUCAAGGGAUAUGAAUGAACCAUUCUUAGAAGUACUUGAGAAGAUUGCAAGGGUGAAAAAGAUUAAGAGGUUGGUGGUCAAUAAGAGCUUGGGUUAUACUAAAUGUAGCUAAAAAGAGAUGGAGUUUCGAGAAGUUCCUUGUUCUCACAUAUUGGCCUACUUAAGAAUGAAACAAAUAGAAUGGCUACCAGAAUGUUUCAUUCGGAAGGUGACUUCAAACCACCAAAUUCGGCAUUAUGCUAGACACAAAAGGGAAAGAAAUGGGCAAAGACGUCGACAAUUCUACCAUGUCGAAAAAAAGGUUAGUUUUCAAGAAAAGGUUUACAAUUGAUUGAAGUGGUGAUGUCAGAGGGAGGUAGUCAAUUUCUGUCCCAGACUCUGUAUGAAGCUAAACUCUUUGGUUGGUGGUAACCGUCGUUGGAAAAGAAAAGAGAUUGAAGAGGGAUGCAGAAGUUCUCAAACCGAGGUGCUUAAAAUCGCAUUCAAGUUAACAAAAGGGCGUUGAAAACAAGUACAAAAGAGAAAUAAAGUCAAUAUCAGAGACACAUCGGUGGCAAGAAGAUGUCCAUGUCCAAACAUAAGGUAUGAAACAAAAUUAAUUAUUGCUUAUGGUUUGGCUCACAAUAUAUUUGUGGUUGUAAUAUUUAAAACAUGAUUAGAUUGUUUAGUUAUUGUCCAGUUGUUGCCCGACCAAACCCGAAGAACACACACAGGCCACACUGAGCGCCUUUCCAAGUGAUGUUAUCAAAGCAAAUGAAGAUGCUGAUCUUUAUCCUAAUUCAAUGCUGACCCAAAACAGUAACGCUCAUUUGACUGUUGGAAAUUUGGGAGUGCUAGACGAUGUUUUCAAAUAUAUAUUGAAUGACCCAUUAAAUAGGGUCUGAAAAGUAAAGUGUGCCUAGUCAUUUUUUAUACAAGAUAUCUUAAGUUUGUUGGGGGGAUGAACUAUUAUUUUGUUGUGGUCAUAGUUGGUUGUUUUAGAUUGUUUAUGUGUGUAACAGUGGUGAUGGAAAUUGUGAUACACUAACUGUGACUUGUAGUGAAUGUAUAUGAAUAAUUGUAACACCUUAUGAAGGUUUAUGAAAAUAUCACUUGCGUCACUUACUGAAGAUUAAAAUUAUGAUAUAGUUACAAAAGUGCGCAAUAUGUACAGAAUACCGAAAAGUAAAUAUAUAAAAAGGUAGAUUUCAGCCUAAGGAUUAUUGGCUGCCUUGUGAGUCACUUUUAUGUACUUAUGCUCCUUGUACUCACGACCAUCUCUGACGAUGUCAUCCACAUGCGAGGGAAAAAUGCAGUCCCAAUCAUAUCCCAACUGAAUCCGAUGGAGGUACGAACGAAAUUUCUCAAACCCAUCAUAAAAAGUGGGGUCACACUAUUAUUGGAGAUACUUCUUUGCCCAUAAAGUGAUUGACCUAUGGCAUACAUCUUCCUCCUUUUUUAGAACUUGUUCAUCAUACUUAUGCUUUCGGCUAUAUAUGGGCAUUUGCACUUGGUCGAUUUGUACAACGCCUCGUUAAGCACCAAGGUGGACUCUUUUUCGAUGCAAUUUUAAUGCCACGCAAUGACGGAGCGUGAGUGGGCACAAAAUUUUCUCUUGGCUUCUGCAAUUUGAUCGGUUGGAUCAUCGAAAUCAUCAUCGCUCCCCAAAAGAGCCAUGACAUAUGUGGUUGCCAUGGUUGUAGACGAACCAAGUGUUGGUUACUUAAUUGUCCUUGGCUUCCACUAUAGAUGAUCAAUUUAGAUGUCUUUAAGUGCCACACAACAAAAACUAGAUGUAAAUGACAGAUUUAUGAUGGUUUAUUGUAGAUAAACGAUGGCUUGUGAAUAGUUGUGUUAUGCUUUUAGAUAGUCAGUUUACAACGAGUUUGUCAUCAAUAUUCCUUCCAAUUCCUUAACCUUGUUUAUGUAACUACAUUAAGAAUGUACAGUGGAUGAACUAACUGUUGGCUAUUGAAUUGUCCUUUUCUUCCAUUUAUAAAUGAUCAAUAUAGAUGUCAUUAAAUGCCACACAACAAAAAGUUGCUCUAUGGGAUCGUUACAUGAGGGUUUGUUGUAGGUAUAUGAUAACUUAUAAAUAGUUAUGUUAAGCUGUCAAGUAGUCAGUUUACAACGAGAUUGUCAUCAAUAUUCCUUCCAAUUCCUUAACCUUUUUUGUGUAACUACAUUAAGAAUGUAUUGUGGACAAACUAAGUGUUGGCUACUGAAUUGUCUUGGGCUUCCAUUUAUAAAUGAUCAAUUUAUAUAUCAAUAAAUGCCACACAACAAGAAUUGGAAAGAAAGGAAGGAUUUAUGAUGGUCUAUGGUAGGUUUAUGAUGGCUUGUGAAUAGUUGUGUAAAGCUAUCAGGUAAUAAGUUUACAACUAAUUGGUGAUCAAUAUUCCUUCAAAUUCCUUAACCUAUUUGUGUAAUUGCAUUAAGAAUGUGUUGUGGUAGCUACAAAAUUUUCAAUUCGUAUACAAUGACAUUUAAUACGCCAAACAAUUGACGGUUUUGCAUGUGUGUGUGUGUUUAUGAGCACUUAUGAAGAGUUGUGUCUACUCUACUACAAUCUUGUCUAUUUGCUCAUUCUAGAAGCACAAAAUAAAUUUUGAUAUUCACAAGUGAGACAAAAACUCAGUAGUACACAUAAACAUAUCACCACUCCCAUAUCCAAUUUUAAACAACUUCUAUAAACCUUUGAUAACAAAAAAAGAAACAUGUACUCAUCCCAAUCCCACAUCCAUUGUUAAAGACAUUCUACAAACAUUGGUGUUCCAAAAAACAUGUACUCAUCCCACUCCUACUCCUAAUCUUAAAGGCAUUCUACAAACAUUUGUGUUCCAAAAAACAUGUACUUAUCCCACUCCCACAUGUAAUCUUAAAGACAUUGUAUAUACAACUGAGAACCAAAAAACAUGUACUUAUCCCACUCACAUAAAGUUAAUUUGGUGUAGCAUUACCAUAAGGACCUCAUCUACAAUUACAUGAUGAAUGGCUUGAUCAUUAGGCAGCACAAGGCAUAAAAUUUAAAAGAAUUAACCCCUUCAUGUACAUCAAGUUUCUUCUUCAAUUCCUCUUCCUCCUUAGAGUAGGUGCAUCCCUUGGAUUUGUCAAUUUGUUCAAUUGCAUUCAAGUAUUUCAAGUGGUAGAUCCCAACAAGUAACCUCGUUGGCUCGAUUUUAAUUCUUGGUUUGCCUUUUCAACAGUUCUUAACUCAUUUCGAAUACGUUUGAUUUCCCCAAAGUUUUCAAUGUGACAGCCCGUCUCGAAUGUAUAUAUUAUUUAUCCUCGAGAGCGUGGAAAUUUGUACUGUACCCUUUUUAUUAUUGAGUUGUGUGUGUGUAUAAACUAAGGUUUUGGACCAAUAGGUCCCUUAUUAUUUGGACCUAAUUAGAACAAAAGGCCUAAGGUUUUGGUUGAUUGAUUGCAAACUAGACCACACACAUACCCUCAUCAUAUCCUAUUGACUCUCUCUCCUCCCACUCGCAUUUUCUUCCAUGUCCGUACGAUUGUAUGGACAAACCUUGAACCUUCACUUCCGUCCUCAGAUCGAACCAAUGGAGACCAUACUUAAGUUCUUCGCUAGCUUAGGAACCCAUUGAUACUAUUAUUUGGGCGUGAAUACCUUAUUUUCCCAAGAACCUGAGAACCCAUUUUUGGGUUACUGCUCAUGUACUCAUGAUUUUGAAGUUUUUAGGAGAUUUUAAGUUGCUAGUGAGCUUUAGCACGUCUUCACGAAGCUCGGAGAAGAAAAACGAAGUGUUUUGGACAUCAGGAAGUUAAGUUUGUUAACUUUCAAGUUUGGCCGGAUUAUUGAAGUUUCUCCAGCGAGAUUCCGUUGGUCUUAGGUCCCUAAAGUGGUAAGGUUUUGUUCCUCUCAUCCUAAGCUUUAAUUUGGUAUAGAUUUCGUGAAUUUUGGUUGAAAAUCGAAAAAGAUAUGAAGGUUUGAUAAUUUUUCUAGAAACUGGCGUCGACGACGAUCUUUGACGAUCCAAGGAAGACGAAGGGGAAUAUUCCAUCAAGUCUGACAGAAUAUUCUAACGGCCUCAGGUAACGCCGUUAAUUUCUAUUAAGGUUUUAACGGAAUAUUCCUAACGGCAAUAUAUUCAAAUACCCCAUUUGAGCAAUGUACAAGAAGUUAUUCCCUAGUUUUGUGUAUGUGCUUUAAAUAAUGUUUAUUCAGUUAUUUCGUAUAUAGGUGAGACCUAUCAUGAGGACGAGGGCCAUCAAUCGAGGCUCGGGGGCUACGACCCUUCGACAUAUCAGUGAGUGGGCUUUUGGUUUUUCGUAUAUACCUAUAUUUUUUAUUUUUCCUAGAAAAUGAAUUUGAAUGAAAUUACGUUUUGAAUCACCAUGCAAAGUAUUUGUCUAUUUUAAUAUGCAUUAGUAGUUGCAUAUAUUUAUGAUUGGUGCUGCGGACGCAUAGGUAAAUGCCAGGUAAGUUCAUAAAUUAAAUAUAUGAGAUUGCUUAAGUUAUGCGAGACAUGAUGUGAUGUAUUGAAAGCUCAUAAACCUGCACCUUGGUGUUAGUGCUCCCGCCCAGAGUUAGGGCACAAUCCUUCACGUGAUGUUCACAUCUCGCACCAUAUGCUCACCUUGGAUCCAAGUUAGGUGCACAUGCUUGUCUUACAUACCACUUUAGGUGGUUUUGACUCAUAGAUGACUCGUGAUUAUUCGCACAACCUUCACGUGAUUGUAGCACUAGAGCAUAUUUACUUUACAGCUAGUCUUGUCAUACAGACCACUUUAGGUGAUUGCAACUCGUGUGCAGGAUUUGAUUUGAUAUGAUUGAGAUUGGUUAUAAGCUAUAUACUCAGCCGUGCAGAUUGAGUUAGAGGGAUUUAGCUGAUGCGAUAUUUGACAUUGAUAUAUUUUGCCUGGAUUACUUAUAGCAUUGCAUUAAGAUACUUUGGCAUGGUAUACUUCUAUGGAUUUUCAUCUUGAGUAUGAUUUCUGAUUUAGCUUAUUAUUAUUAUUUUCUGGGAAAUUAUACAAGUUUUACGGCGAGGGGUUAGAAUUUUAUGAGAAAUGAAAUGGUUUUGAAAAGUUUUGUUUUUGCCUACUCACACUUUCUGUUUUGCGCCCCUCCAGGUUUUAGGUAGAAGUGCUUUGGUGGAUCACGAGGAUUUCGACGGGGGUUCUGACAGAACAUCAUAAAUGUAGGAUCACCUUUGGGGGUUGUAUAAUUAGUACUGUCCUGCUUGACUGCAUCUAAAAUAUUUAUGCUCUGAUUGUGUAUUUCACACUUAAUCUCGCACUAGCACUCUAUCUUAGCUAGUUCUGCUAGUUGUUUGGUUUUUAUUCCUUUGCAUUUUCCCUUAUAUCUUUAUUGCUUCCGCACUAUGCACAUGGUUACGUCACUCCCACGUGACGGCCAACAUGCCCCAAUCUAGGUUGGGGUGUGUCAGUUUGUUAUCAAAGCAUUAGGUUUGCAGUCCUGCAUAUCUUGAGAAUUACGAAUUAUUUUGGUGUCUUCUGUCAGAACUAUGCCGCCUCGUAGAGAUCCACGUCCUUCUGUUGAGCCUAGUUUCCUCGAUAUAGCUCAGUUAGGGGAAGCUAUGGCUAAUGCCAUUCAGUCUUCGCUUCAUCCUCCCUAAAGGGCACCUCUUGAGACUGUGUAUACUAUGAAGCUCAAUCAUUUUAUGGGGAAUAAAGGACAUGAAGGUGUGGUGAAAUGGAUUAAUCACAUUGAGAAGGCUUUCCGUGUAAUGCAGAGUCAGGGGAAUCUUUCUACUGAUAGGUGUGUCGAGAUGACUACUUGGUUUCUAGGUCUGAAGCCUGCAUCCUGAUGGAGACAAGAGUCUUAUCAGUUGUCACCAGAGGAAGCAGCUGACUGGUAAGUGUUUAAACAGUUUUUUCAGAAAAGGUUUAUUCCCCCUAAGUAUAUUGAUAGUAAAAAGCAAAAGUUUACUCAAUUAAAGCAGGGGAAGAUAACGGCAAAUGAGUAUUAUAAGAGAUUCACUGACUUGUCUCGUUAUCAUCCAGAGGUUGCUGCUAAUCCGGUUGAGAUGCUCCGUCUCUUUAGAUUGGGUACAAAGAAGAAAUGGCGCUCUAUAGCAACCUCGACUCCCUGUGCUACUUACCAGGAGUUUUAUGAGAUUUUGUUAAGGAUUGAGGACUUAGAAAAUAUGCCCAGUGAAAGUGAAGAAAAAGAAGAAAAGAAUGGGAAUCAGAGACGAGAUGAUAAAGGUAAAGGUCAGUCUUCUCAAGAACCCCGCAAGACUCAGAGCUUUAAGAGGAGUGAAACUAGUUCCAGCUCUUCUAGUGGAGGUUUUAGUGCCACUAGUCAGAGGAGAGGUGGUAGAUUUUCAGGAGGUCCUAGAUUCCAGAGGCAGGGAGAUGCUGGAAGAGGAAGUGUUCAUUUGUGCUGCAGAUGUAAUAAUAGGCAUUUUGGGGAGUGUAGGAGAGGUAGCAGUGGAUGUUUUACUUGUGGGCAGAUGAGACAUAGAGCUAUAAAUUGUCCCCAAAGUCAGCAGAGGCCCCAGCAGCCUUCUAUGCCACCACUAGCGCCAAUCCAGCAAGUUCUAAGGUCUGGUAAUUAUGGUUAGAUGGGUCGAGGUGGUGCUUACCAUUAUCAGGGCAAUGCCGGUCCUUAUGCUUCAGGGCAAUAUCAGUAUUCGCAGGAUCCCUAUUACCAGAGUGGGUAUUCUCAAUAUCCUUGAGGGUAUACACUGUAUCCUCCCAUUCCAGUUGGUGGAUCUCAGUGGUACCAGGAAGGAUAACCCUAGCAAGUAGAGAUUGCUUCCAGUAGUGUAGGAUCUUCAAGGCAAUUUGGUCAGCCAAGUCAGGGACGAGGUGUUCAGAGGCAAGGUAAUUAAGCUAUUAGAGGUCGUGGGGGAUAGCAGCAAGCCCAGGGACGUAUUAAUAAUAUCUCUCUGCAAGAUGCCCAGAAUCAUCCAAAUUUGAUCAUGGGUACGUUAAAUGUUCUUGGUCACUUUGCUAGAGUUUUAAUUGAUUAUGGAGCUAUGUACUCUGUCAUUUCUCAUACAUUUGCUCAGGUGACGCAACCUCAUCCUACACCUCUAGGGUAUGAUUUAGAGUUUGCUAUGCCUAGAAGGGAGAGAUUUUAUGUUGAUUGUGUAUAUCCAAGAUGUCCAGUGGUGGUGGAAGAGGUGGUUAUGCCAGCUAAUCUUAUCCCGUUAGAUAUUGUCGAUUUUGAUGUGAUUUUAGGCACAUAUUGGUUGCAUUAUAAUCGUGCCAACAUAGAUUGCUUCAGGAAGAUAGUUACUUUCCAUCGUCCUGGAUUACCUAAAGUUACUUUUGUGGGUGAAAGUAGUGCGGUGAGGCACAAUAUUAUUUAUGCUGUAAGAGCAAAAAAGUUGUUAUCUAAAGGUUGCCAGGGAUAUUUGGCUCAUGUAGUGCUGAAUGAUGUUGCUUCUAGUAGUGUGGUGGAUGUUCGAGUAGUCAGGAAUUUUCCUGAUGUAUUUCCUGAUGAUUUACCUGGAUUACUGCUAAACUGAGACGUGGAGUUCACUAUUGAUUUGCUUCCAGGUACGGAUCCUAUAUCUUUGACUCCAUAUAGAAUGGCUCCUGCUGAAUUGAGGGAAUUGAAAGUCCAGUUGCAGGAAUUAGUCGAUAAAGGUUUUAUUUAGCCUAGUACUUCACCCUGGGAGCUCCAGUUUUGUUUGUAAGGAAGAAAGACGGCACUUUGAGGCUAUGUAUUGAUUAUAGGCAAUUAAAUCGGGUAACAAUUAAAAACCGUUAUCCGUUGUCGCGUAUAGAUGAUUUGUUUGAUCAGCUUCGAGGUGCUUAUGUGUUUUGUAAGAUUGAUUUGAGGUCUGGUUAUUACCAAUUGAAGAUCAGCAGUAAGGAUGUCCCUAAGACUGCUUUCAGGACUCGUUAUGGUCAUUAUGAGUUUCUAGUGAUGCCAUUUGGAUUAACAAAUGCACCAGCAACUUUCAUGGAUUUGAUGAAUCGAGUAUUCCAGCCAUUUAUAGACAGGUUUUUCAUUGUUUUUAUUGAUGACAUUUUGGUGUACUCUAAGUCUAAAGCAGAGCAUGUUCGAUAUCUUACUUUGGUGUUGAAGAAAUUAAGGGAACAUCAGUUGUAUGCUAAGUUUAGCAAAUGUCAAUUUUGGUUGAAUCAAGUGGCAUUUUUGGGACAUGUCAUUUCUACUCAAGGUAUUCAAGUCGAUUCUCAAAAAGUGGCAGCUGUGGAGAAAUGGGAGCAACCUCAAACCGUCACUGAGGUACGGAGUUUUCUUAGCCUAGGAGGGUAUUAUAAAUGGUUUGUUAAGGAUUUUUCAGUCAUUGCUUUUCCAUUAACGAGGUUGACUAGAAAAGAAGUUAAGUUUGAGUGGGAUGAUAAUUGUGAGCAAAGUUUUCAGUAGUUGAAGUAUUAUCUCACUCAUGCACCUGUUUUGGCACUCCCAGAUGAUAGUGGUAAUUUUGAGGUCUACAGUGAUGCUUUCUUAAAUGGUCUAGGUUGUGUGUUAAUGAAGCAUGGUAGGGUGAUUGCUUAUGCUUCACGACAAUUGAAGCCUCAUGAGAAGAAUUACCCUACUCGUGAUUUGGAGUUAGCAACUAUCAUCUUUGCUUUGAAGAUUUGGAGACAUUAUCUUUAUGGUGAGAAAUGUAAGAUCUUCACAGAUCAUAAGAGUCUUUAGUAUCUUUUUACUUAGAGGGAUCUUAAUCUUCGGCAGCGAAGGUGGAUUGAGUUGCUUAGUGAUUAUGAUUGCACGAUUGAGUAUCACCCUGGUCAUGCAAAUGCAGUGGCGGAUGCACUUAGUAGGAAGACUCCAGUUAGACUUAACGCCAUCUAUGAUUGUCAUGUUCAUCUUCAUGCUAAUUUGAGGUCCAUUAGAGUGGAGUUAAGAGUGGAUGAUCGAGAGGAAGCUUUACUUACAAAUUUUCAAGUCAGGCCAAUUUUAAUUGACCGUGUACUUGAAGCCCAGAUGAAUGAUGAAGAGACACAGGAAAUAAUUCAAGCAAGGAAUCGGGGAAAGAAGAAAGACUUCAGAAUUCGAGAAAAUGAUGGUAUGCUUAUGCAGGAGAGUAGAAUGUAUGUGUCAAAUAAUAUGGAAUUAAAGAAGGCAAUUCUUGAUGAAGCACAUAUUUCAGCUUAUGCAAUGCAUCCAGGAGGUACAGAAAUGUAUCAUACCAUUCGACCAUUUUAUUAUUGGCCGGGUAUGAAAAGAGAAAAUGUUGAAUAUGUAAGUAGGUGUGUCAUUUGUGAGCAAGUCAAAGCAGAAAGAAAGAAGCCUUUUUUAUUGAUGCAGCCACUUCCUGUUCCACAAUGAAAAUGGGAAAAUAUUACUUUGGAUUUUGUGUACAAGCUUCCUCGUACACAGAAUGGUUAUGAUGGCAUUUGGGUGAUAGUUGAUCAGCUUACUAAGUCUGCACAUUUUAUUCCUGUGAGGGAGAAAUAUCAUUUAAGUCGAUUAGCUGAAUUAUUCAAAUUGAAGAUUGUAAAGAACCAUGGGAUUCCAAUUAGUAUUAUCUCGGAUCGUGAUCCUAGAUUUACUUUCAAAUUCUGGAUAGCAUUCCAGGAAGCUCUUGGUUCGAGAUUAUUUUAUAGUACAACAUAUCAUCCUCAAACAGAUGGACAAUCAGAAAUGACCAUUCAGACGUUGGAAGAUAUGUUUAAAUCUUCAGUGUUGCAGUUUAGUGAUGCUUGGCAUAAGCGGUUGGAAUUAAUGGAAUUUGCCUACAACAAUAGCAUCCAUUCCAGUAUUGGUAUGUCACCUUUCGAGGCUCUUUAUGGUAAAUCUUGUCGUACACCCUUAUGUUGGUCAGAAGUUGGUGAAAGAGUUUUGAUAGGUCCUGAGAUAGUGGAGGAGACUACACAGAAUAUUCAGGUGAUUAAGUCUAACUUGAAAGCGGCCCAGGAUCGACAAAAGAGUCUAGCAGACUGACAUGCCACUGACCGGAUGUAUAAUGUAGGUGAUUGGGUAUUUCUGAAGUUAUCACCAUGGAAAGGUGUUGUACGGUUUCGAAAGAAAGGCAAGUUGAGUCCUAGGUACAUUGGACCAUAUAUAUAUGAUCACCAAGCGAGUCGGUGAGGUUGCUUACAAGCUUGAGUUGCCUCUAGAGUUAUCCAAAGUGCACGAUGUUUUUCAUGUCUCUAUGUCACUGCAUCUCAGAUCCUUCUCAUGUGAUACCUCCUCAACCGCUGGAAAUUAAUUCAAAUUUGACUUAUGAUAACGAGCUAGUGAUUAUUUUGGAUUGGAAAGAUAAGGUUUUGAGAAAUAAAACAGUGCGCUUAGUAAAGGUUUUGUGAAGAAAACACUCGGUGGAGGAAGCCACCUGGGAGACGGAGAAGCAUAUGAAAGAGAUGUAUCCGCGCUGGUUUUAUGAUUAUUAGUGGGUUGCAUUUAUUGUGUAAAUUUCGAGGAUGAAAUUUUCUUAAGGGGGUAGGUUGUGGCAGCUCGUCCUGAACGUAUAUAUUAUUUAUCCUUGAGAGCGUGGAAAUUUCUACUAUAUCCUUUUUAUUAUUGAGUUAUGUGUGUGUAUAAACUAAGGUUUUGGACCAAUAGUUCUAUUCUUUAUUAUUUGGACCUAAUUAGAACAAAAGGCUUAAGGUUUUGGUUGAUUGACUGCAAACUGGACCACACACAUACCCUCACCCUAUCCCGUUGACUCUCUCUCCUCCUUCUCGCAUUUUUUUCCAUGUUCGUACGAUUGUACGGACAAACCUUGAACCUGCACUUCCGUCCUCAUAUCGAACCAAUGGAGACCAUAGUCAACUUCUUUGCUAGCCCAGGAACCCAUUAAUACUAUUAUUUGGGCGUGAAGACCUCAUUUUCCCGAGAACCCAGUUUUGGGUUAUUGUUCAUGCACUCGUGAUUUCGAAGUUUUUGGGAGAUUUUAAGCUACUAGUGAGCUUUAGGACGUCUUCACGAAGCUCGGAGAAGAAAAGCGAAGUGUUUUGGACGUCAGGAAGUUGAGUUUGAUAAGUUUCAAGUUUGGUCAAAUUAUCGAAGUUUCUUCGGCGAGAUUCCGUUGGUCUUAGGUCCCUGAAAUGCUAAGGUUUUGUUCCUCUCAUCCUAAGCUUUAAUUAGGUAUAGAUUUCAUGAAUUUUGGUUGAAAAUCGAAGAAGAAAUGAAGGUUUGAUUAUUUUUCCAGAAACCGGCGCCAGUGAUGAUCUCCGGCGAUCCAAGGAAGACGAAGGGGAAUAUUCCGUAGGUAACACCUUUAAUUUCUGUUAAGGUUUUAAUGGAAUAUUCCUAAUGGCAGUUAAGUUUCAGUUCAGGUUUAGCCGCGCGUGGGGGUGCGUCUAGCCGUGCCUUAGCCGGCGAGUGGGUGGUAGGAAAAUUUUUCUAAGAAUUUGGGGAUGUUCCUCAGGUUGAGUAGAUCAUGGUGGUAUAUUCAAAUACCCCAUUUGAGCAAUGCAUGAGAAGUUAUUUCCUAGUUUUGUGUGUGUGCUUUAAAUAACGUUUAUUCAGUUAUUUCGCAUAUAGGUGAGACCUAUCCUGAGGAUGAGCACCAUCAAUCGAGGCUCGGGGGCUUUUGGUUUUCCGUAUAUACCUAUAUACUUAAUUUUUCCUAGAAAAUGAAUUUGAAUGAAAUUAAGUUUUGAAUUGCCAUACAAAGUAUCUGUCUAUUAUAGUAUGCAUUAGUAGUUGCAUAUAUUUAUGAUUGGUGCGGUGGACGCACAGGUAAGUGCUAGGUAAGUUCAUAAAUUAAAGAUAUGGGAUUGCUUCAGUUAUGCGAGACAUGAUGUGAUGUAUUGAAAGCUCAUAAACCUACAUCCCAGUGUUAGUGCUCCUGCCUAGAGUUAGGGCACAGUCCUUCACGUGAUGUUCACCUUUCGCACCAUAUGCUCACCUUGGAUCCAAGUUAGGUGCACAUGCUUGUCAUACAUACCACUUUAGGUGGUUCCGACUCGUAGGUGACUUGCGAUUAUUCUUACAGCCUUCACAUGAUCGUAGCACUGGAGCAUAUUUACUUUACACCUAAUCAUGUCGUACAGACCACUUUAGGUGGUUCCGACUCGUGUGCAGGAUUUGAUUUGAUGCGAUAUUUAACAUUGAUAUAUUUUGCCUGGAUUACCUAUAGGAUUGCAUUGAGAUACUUUGGCAUGGUAUAUUUCUAUGGAUUUUCAUCUUGAGUAUGAUUUAUGAUGCAGCUUAUUAUUAUUAUUAUUAUUUGAGAAAUUAUAUAGGUUUUACGGCGAGGGGUUAGAAUUUUAUGAGAAAUGAAAUGAUUUUGAAAAUUUUUGUUUUUUGCCUACUCAUACUUUCUGUUUUGCACCCCUCCAGGUUUUAGGUAGAAAGGCUUUGGCGGAUCAUGAGGAUUUCGACAGGGGUUCUAACAGAACAUCAUAAAUGUAAGAUCACCUUUGGGGGUUGUAUAAUUGGUACUGUCCUGCUUGACUGCAUCUAGAAUAUUUAUGCUCUGAUUGUGUAUGUCACACUUAAUCUCGCACUAGCACUCUAUCUUAGCUAGUUCUGCUAGUUGUUUGGUUUUUAUUCCUUUGCAUUUUCCCUUAUAUCUAUAUUGCUUCCGCACUAUGCACAUGGCUAUGUCAGUCCCACAUGACGGCCAGCAUGCCUCAAUCUAGGUCGGGGUGUGUCAUUCAAGGUGUUUACUCUUCCAAAACAAAGCAGACUGGAUAGGGCUAUUUAUACCUAAAGAAAUUUGCUUGGAAUGAGGCAUACCACCACUUUUGUUUGGAUGUGGCCGCUUCUUGCUGCAAUUUGAUUCUUUGAUGGGGGUUGAUUGAGGGUGAUUUCAUGAUGAGAUUUAGAUUUGGGUGUAGAGCAAACAUAUAUGGGAUUGGGAGUAUUAAAGGCGACUGGAUUUGUUUUGGGAGGUGGGGUAUUAAUUGGAGUAGGUGUUAUGAAUGUUGGUGUAUUUAAGAGGAUUUGAGAUGAAUUUUUAGUGAUGUUGAUGCAUUGCUGCAUUGUUAUACUAAAUUACAGCAGACGAAAUAUGCAACUAAAAUGAGUAGCUAAACUAUCAUCACAAGUAAACAUGAUGUUCAAACAAGGCUUUUAGGUUUACCUCAGACCCAUUUGGAGGCGCAUGUACCCCACAUGCUGGCUACUGCAGCGCCACAUGCAAUCGACGCACCGCGAGUACAACUUGUACUUGCCUUCACUGACAAGGCCAAGAGUGGCUGAUUUCUGGGGAAACCUUCCAGAGCUCGAUUCGAGCUCAUUUCUAAGAAUCGAUUUGUGCUAAACCUUCACCAAAACAUGCAUGGAGUACAUGAGUAUGAUCCUAAACAACAAAUGGAAACAGUCCAUGAAUAUGAGCCAAAACAACGAUUGGAAAACAUUUAAGGUGUUUUCGAAGUUAACCUUUCUUGGAAUCGACGAUAUUUCUCUUUGAGAAGUCGAGCCGCGAUGGUGCUCGUAGGUUCAUUGGUUUCUUGUUUGAUUUUCUGGGAACCAAGGGUAAGGUUAAGCUCUGCAUUUUGAGAUGAGUUUUCUUGAUUUUUCUCUAGACUUGCAAAGAUAAGAAGGGCGAGAAAGUGAGUUGCAGAGGCGAGGGAUUGAGAUGAAACAAAGGGGGAGUUAGUGGAGAGAUGAGGGGGUUCGCAUGGGGAAAAGGGACUCACACGUGGGUGAGUCCCAUGGCACACCACUCAAAUAGAAACAAUAUUAAAAUAAUUCAAACGACAGACAAAUAUUUCAAACUAGUUGUGAAAUUGCCAAUAUUAAAUAUUAUUUAUUAAGAUUUACUGGACACAAUUUUUAAAAUUAGUGUCAUGAAAAGGAAAUUUAUAGUUAUUAAUAUUCAAGGGGCAUUUAUUUUCAAAUUAUCUGCUGACCCACUACACCUAUGUAUGGUUGAUUAGACAGAUGACUUUAUAGAUACCAUUUUUUGUUAUGUGACACUCCAUGAAGGACUUUUAAUACAGUAAAAAAAAUAUAAACACUAACGGAUCAUAUCACGAAGUAUCAGAAACCAAUUCGCAUGAAGAUUAGAAUCUGAAAAGCAAGUGAAAAAAAUAAGAAUCUAACAAACAUUCUUUGCAGAUGGAAAUGAUCCAUCAUAAAUCUAAAAUACAUCACUUAGUACUACAGUCUAAUGGUAUUCUUCUUCAGUUGUAAGUGAGAGGUCUUAGGUUCGAUUCUCGCCAACGACGAAUUUGAACCAUAUUAUUACUAUCUUAUUUUGAGGCUAAAAUACUGCAUAGUAAUAAACAACUCCAUACCAUUAUUUACCACAAUUUUAUAAAUUUAAUUUAUAAUCUAAUUUUUUUUUGUGUGCUAGAUGUAAAGACAAAUGCGAAAAACACAAACAGUGCUACUGACAAACAAAUUUUAUAGACACCAAAAAGUUUUUGUGUCUAGCUUCAGUCAAAAAGUUGUCAGUUGACCCCAUUUAGCACGGUUCCCGUGUCCUUUACUGUUUUGAGUCUUGGUGUUUUUACAUUGAGCACCAUAGAUGGUGCCCUCUGUGGAAUGAUAAUUGUUUCAGUCCUUUGGUGGUCAAACAGACACAAAAUUCACAAUUAUGUCCUUAGUUUUGUACCCGAAGCCCAUUUUUCUUGUAGUGUCAUAGGUUGCCGUGUCCACACCAAGUCGUUUCUUCUAGGACGGCUUUCUUAUCUACGGUUUAUUAUCAUAAUGUUUCACAAGCCGUCAUCCCAUGCGUAACAAACAGAUGGCUGGAAAUAAAACACCCACGUUGGGAAAUGAAAAGGUGGGAAUAACUGCAAAGACCUUGCCUCUUGGUGUGCAAACCUUUGGUGAGCAGGGUAUACCCUCUUAUUGCCACAUUUGGACGACUACUCUCAAUUAUGUCCUUAGUUUUGUACCCAAUAGAUAAAUGCAAUAUUUCGAAACAUUAUCUUGUUAGUUAUGUUCUGCACGCCACCUUAAUCCUCUAUUUAUAGGUGGUGUUAAUUUUGCAUGGCAUAAUCUCCUUGAUCUCUCUUCACUCAAACCCCAAGCUGAAAACUGCCACUUACUCUUUCACUUAUUCAAUGGCUCACAACUAAACAUAAGGGUUGGUUUCAUAAAAUGUCACAUAGCUUAAUAACACAGAAGGGUUGGUUUCAUAAAUUGUCACAUACAUUCAUUGAAAAUAAGGGUUCAUUUCAAAUAUUGUCACAAACAUUCAUUAAAUAGAAGAGUUGGUUUUAGAUUUUCUCACAUAAAUUCAUUGAGCAUAAGGGUUGGUUUUAGAUAUUAUCACAAACAUUCAUUCAAUAUAUAAAAUUGCUAGGGAUGCCACUUAAGUCAUCCAAAACAAGUAACAAUCUGGAAGGAGAUUAUGAAAGAAUCCCCAAACACAUUAAAUUCAUCCAAAGCAACUAAAACUAUGGAGAAAUAAUUUUAAAAGAACCACAAUGUACUAAUUGGCUAACAAAUUAAAUUCAUCCCAACAAACUAGAAACUGUCUUAAUAGAUGAAAUUUCUCCAACACCAUAUAUUAACAAUAUAAUACUUGUUUAUGAACUACCAUUGUUCUUCAUUCGUCAUUCUACAUUAAUCAAUUUCUAAACUAAAAUUAUCAAUCAUUCACCACUCACUAUGCAACAGGUCGAUUGCCAUCCUUAGUCAGAAUGCAGGGAUGUUCUCUAGCAUAAUUACAUCUAAAUGAAGGCCAGCAGACAACAAUUCAACUAUGCAAGUUAAUGGGUAUUAACUGAUCCCAUGAUAGCUGGGAUCACGUUAGGAAUAUACUCUAUAAAUACGAACAUCCCUGCUCACCAGAGACAUGUUCACUUGAUCACUAGACUAUCACUAGUAUUGGACAUAAGGGUUGUGUGAGUAAAAGACCUUCUAUUAGUAUUCUCUUCAGUGCAUUCAUACUAUUCUUCAUGGCUUUUUCAGGUAUGUUUAUGUGCGUGUGUGUGUGUGUGUGUGUGUGUAUACAGUGAUUCAAUCACUUUAAACUAACAUUUAUUUGUAUAUCGUAAUCUUAGUUUUAAGACUAAAUGCUUAUUGUAACAAAUACUGCAAUCCUCCUUGUGCCAUACAACAAUUCAAUAAUUUCAUAAACAAUUCACAUAAAAUUCAAUCAUUUAACUAACCUCACUAACAAUUCAAUAAAAUAUCAACUCACCUGUUGUUUUGCUGUGGUGACCUUGGACUACCAUUAUGGGCCAAGUCUAAGGUGCAUUCUUCACCUCUCAGGACAGGUUUCGAAGGACAUCGGGCAACAUGUAGGCAAUGAGAGCCAAUUUCGCACUCGCUUGACGUGUGUAGGUUUUAGAUGUGGUACACAAUUAUUCUUCCCGUUGUAAGAUUCAUCUCAAUGGCAACACAAUUGUGAUCAAGGUUGAGGGGCAUGUAGACCCUCUUCACAUCGACCAUCCAUGAUGUACAAAACUCUUCCCCAUUCCCUUUCACUAUUUUUAACAGCGUCAAUAAGAAUGUUUUGGACGCAUCGCUUAUGUGACCUCAAGUUGCCUUUUCAGCUGUCCUCGCAUUAUGGUAAUGCUCACAGUAAGACUAUCCACAACUAUAAAAUAAAUAAAUAAACAUGUACAACACUUCAAACAUUCGAAAACACAUUUAACCUCACAAUUGCCAAACUAUACAAUUUUAGCAGAAAUUUUGGUUGGACAUUUUACCAGAAACCAGUAGGUUGUGUUGGUGGUAAACACUUUUCGUACCCUUCAAGCCUCGUUCGCAUGCUUUUGUAAGAGAUACAGAGUACCGUUUCCCUUUGCACAACAUCCUGUUUCGGCUCACCUUCUUGGAGUUUUUGGAACUUUGUGACUUCAAAGAUAAAAGUCGUAUGUCGGACCACAUUCGUCUUCUUCUUGCCUCCCCCUCCCCGUUCAGUUCCCCUAAAAUUUGAUAGUCCCUUGUGUACUAGACCUUCCUCUUUGUUCCCACAUGAUACCCAUCAAUGUGUAAAUAACAACCUCAUCAUGGGAACUUUGGACUUCUUCGUACUCGUCCAGUACACAUUCUCCAAGCAAUUGAACCAUUUUCUCUCAUACAUUUGUACGACUUACUCAAUCAACAGUCCCUAGAAGUUCCUUCAAGCCCUCUUCCUCCACAUCUCCUAUAACCUUCUUCCUUCUUGAUCCCUUGGCUCUCUCCCAUUUGCCUUCAUCACCCCCAUUUUGACCACCAUUUUCUUCUUCUUAUUGGACAACAUUUUGUACAUAACCGCCACUUUCACUACCAUCUUCUUCGUCUUUUUCCUUUUCUUUUCCUUCUUCUUCUUUUCCCUCUUCUUCUUCUUCUUCUCCAUCCUCUUCCUUUUGUUUUUCCAUAUCUUUUUCUUCUUCUUCUUGGUCAUUCUUCUCAUCCACAUGUUUUUCCUUAAUUUCCCUCCUCAAUUCCUUAGCGUACUCGGUCAACUUUUCCUCCUUCUUCAAUACCUUCCUCUUUGAAAUAUCUUUCACAUGCGCCAAACGGGUCAAAGCCACCUUUAACUCCUUUAUUUGUAUUUUCAACUAAUCAACAUCAUUUGUAUCGAAGUCAAGAUGUCAAGCAUCACUACAUCGACAUCAUCGCACCGUGUCCAAUUGUCUGUGUUCCUCUUUGAUUUAGUCGGCACUACCUCCCGAUUCCCAACUGCCUGCCAUUUAAUGCCAUUUAUCAGAAUUACAUUUCUCAUCGAUAUAGUUUAUACAAACAUUCAUCAACAUUCACAAAUAUUCACAUAUAUUCAUAAAGUUCUUAAAUUUUCAAAUAAAGUGAUACCUCUCGGCUCCUAGUUAUGUACAUCUGCAACUGCUCAUGGAUCAACUGCUUCUUCGUUGUCGACCACCAAAGAAUCUUAGGAUGGCUAUCCUAUUAGUAAUCUUACAGUAGCGUACUGGCUUCUCUAGUUCUGGAAUUAUUCUGUAUGCCCACACCUGCACAUACAUUGAAUUAAUACUCAAUCGCAAUAAUUUAGCCAUUAUUAGUACUCAAUCAAAGUAACAAAUAGUACCUGAAAAGCAUAGCGAAACCAUUUGCAACCCCAUCCGGAUCUCUGCCUCCUCUUACUUCCCCUACCUUCUUCCUUUUCCUCCUCGUCAUCUCCUUCCACAUCACCAUCCAUUCUUCCUCUUCCUCUCUUAGAAGCAGCAAAAAAGAGGUUGUCUUUUUGUUUUUCAAAGGAUAUCGCACUCCAUGCAUAUCUAUUAAACCUAUCUAUGUCAUCUACGUGGUGCAAGUAGUCUAGGUUCACAGCUACAUUACUCUUCGCCCUAUCAAGACACCCUCAUCGAAGUAUACUAGCCCCAUCUUUAAUGAUCAUCCUCAUUUUCGUAUUCUUUAAAAGACCUUUGAAGCUCGACACAAGUUACUAAAACCUUUUUACUACCUUUCUUGGCGUGGUCUUCGCUUGACGUUUGCUCUUCCUACCCUUACCUUUGCUACUUUCUCCAACAAAACCAAAUUUCUCUGGAAAAAACUUGGUCAAAACCCUAAUGUUGGAAGGCUCUACCUUUAUAUUGUUGGAAGUAUGCCCCGAAAGCCGCUCAUUUGAUGUAAUAGCUUUUGGAAUACUUAUUGUGUUAAACUAUUAUAUGUUUAAUGAAGGGCAAAACUUAUUGUUAAUCACUAUUUAUUGUAUUAUGUGUUUAAGGAACAAGGGAAUCCAAGGAAUGUAUUUAUCUAAGAGAGAAGUGAUCUAAGCAAGUUAGAUUAACGAGACCUUUUUCUUAUGUUCAUUCCUAAAACGUUCCUAGCCAUAGGAUUGCCAAUUGGGCAUUGACAAUCCUCUAAGUUUAGCAUAUGUUAUGUUAAUUCAAGCGUGAAUAUGACUAGUCUCAAGUCAUUUAGUGUUGGACACUAAGACAAACACAUAGGUGAUCAAAAUGGUGAUCGAGUACACUAAACUACGAUCAAAAGAGAGUUCGAACGUACAUGUCGUGUAAGAACUCGUAAGUUGCAAUAUGCAAAGUAGUCAUUUGACCUGAGGCAUCAUAGAUGUCUAAUGGUUAGGUCAUUGAUCUUUGAUCAUGUCAAUGGCAUUCCAUCGAGAGUGUCCAUGACAUUGUUGGGGUCAAGCUAUCUAGUCAAUUGGCAUAUGAAUGCACAACAAAGGAUAUCUAACCUUCCAUGGUGAAGGGAGAAUACUCUGAGAUAUGACUUAGGAAGUUGGUUCCAAAUCAUAUUCAGUUGAAUCAUAUAGAGAAGUAUCACAUUGGAUAGUAGACAUGAAACAAACUAUCACUCAAACAAUGUGAUUAAGAGUAUUGUAUUAGAGAAGGACCAUAUUGCAUUGUAAUUGUAACUGGAUAGGUUCUCUAACCACUUCUACUUAGCUUGAGUAGCCAUGACAUACUGCUAGGUGUCACUUAUGGUUUGUGGAAGCCUUGAAGAUUUGCAAACAAUAAUCUUCAUCAAAGGGAGAAUUGAAAUGUAGUUUCAACACAAUUGAUCAUUAAGAGUAACAAUCGCCCACUGCCUCACUAAGUGAAACCUAAUAGAUCGUACACCGAGUAUGGAUGAAAGUGAAGAAAUAUAAAUGAGAUGGAUAAGCAAUUAAAUGGUUUAAUUGAGAAUGGUCAAGAUUAAUUAAUUAGUUAAUUAAUUAUACGAAAGGUUCGUAUUGGGCUUUUAAGUUAGUUUCGGGUUUUGAGGCCCAAAAAUGUUUUGGUCCACAAGGCCCACUGAGUUUAAGUUGUGUGACAACUAAAACUAAAUGGAAAUUAACCCAAAUACAAAGUCAAAACCGGCCAUAGGGUGAGUGGUAGCAAACUUGGGUUAAUUGCAAGUUUGCCACUCACACUAGGGUUUUCUUGAGGCAAAGAAGAGAAACUUUUUCUCCUUUUUCUCUAUAGAGGCCGGCCUUCCUAGGGGAGUUCACUAGCAUCCAACUUCCUCUAGGUAAUCCAUUUCAUCUUCACACCAUCAUCCUUGGUGUGGAGACUUAGAGGUACCAAACUAUUGGUAUUUUUGGAGUUCCUUUCCUCACAUCCUCAAGGAGCAAAGGAGUAUCAUAAGGAAAGAAAAUCACAAGGAAGAUCUAAGGAGCUAGGAGGUGACUUGAAGGCCCUCCACUUGGGUGAAUCCCUUGUGUAAACAAGGAUGAGCUUCAAGGGUAAUGAAUCUCAAAAUCCUUUCUUCUUUUAAUGUUGUUAAUGAGUCUUGUGGUUCACCAUUCACUAGGCUUUGAAAGUCAUGGGUUUUAGAAUUGUUUUUAAAUGCAUGCCUACUUUAAAGUGUUAAUAGUUUGCUUUUGUGUUCAAAUGUUCUUACAUGUUAUUAGCUAGGAUAAAUAAUUUCCUUCAUAUAUCAUAGUGUUCAUCACAACAAAGCCCUAUAACGAGGCAAAAGUCCUUCGUGAACCGGGUCACUUCACAACCUAUUAAAUAUGUGUCCCUUUAAAUCUUUCACCCCUUGAUGAGCACUCUACGGAGCGACAUUUCAUGCACCAAUUGGCCACUAAAGGUUAGUCUAUUGACACUCUUUAAGUGUCCAAAGCAUGAUACCCUAAAACCAAUAAGUUGUGCGUCAUUAAACUUUUGAUGCAUGACUCCUAGCACAUGACUUGCUUGAGAAAGGUUGUUAACCCUUCCCCUAUAUGAAUCUUCCUCUUUAGUUGCUAGUUGAACACCUCGAGUUGUCAUCUCCUGUAUACAUAACAAUACAACCAUUCAACCCAACCAAAUUAGAAAAUAUAUACCUUGAUAACAACCAAAUUCAACGAUGUAUUUUCAUUACAAUACAUCUACAGUGAACAAACCUUCAUGACAUAAGCAAUAUCAAGUUAAUUCCUAAAAUUAACAAAGAUUUCAUCAACACAAAUCAUAACCAACUCAACAAUAUAACUUCAACAAAACAAAAUUGAACUACCUAUCCCUUAUACACAAACCAUCAACAACAUUUUAUCAACCCACAUCCCACCGAAAUUUCCCAAAAAUUUCACCAAUUUCAACUAAUUUUAUCAACCAACUUGCAUAAUUAACCAUAAACACCAAACAAAUUCAUCAAAUUUACGUAAAUGAAAAAAAUAUUUCUAGGGUUUGGAAUUUCCAAACUCACCAAAUUUCAAAUUUAUUUUAGGGAAUGAAGUAUGACGUUGACUACUAGGGAAGUAAGAACUUUGAACUCAAUCCAAUCAAGCAAGCACCACGUCAUUUCUGUGGAACUGACUGCUCACCCUCAAACCAAAGUUGCUUGAAUUUCUAAACUUUUGUGUAGAAGUGUAGUGAAGCCAGAAACGAUAAGCAUAACAAUACUACAACUUGGCUUCACACAACAAGGGAAUUUUCAAAAGGUAAGCAAGUUUUCAACGAGAAGGAUGUUUAAAGGUUGGCGAGAGAUGGUGGGAGGAGAAGACAAAUUUAAGAUGGUAAUUGUUGAUGUCGGAAUGGGGGGGAAGUGAAUUGAUGCCGUGUAAUUAGUGACUGGUCAUUUAUGACCCGGUGUCAUCCUAAUCUCAUUUUGAUAGAUUGGUUUUCAGCAGUUAUGAUUUGAUCCAAUGGCCCACAUUUUGUCCGUAUGAAAGGUCUGCAAGGUGCGGUCCACACCUUAUAAAAGGCCAUAGAUUGUUUCACCUUCCCCUAACUUGUCUUAGGUUGCUUGUCACUUUUUUGUAUUGGGCUUGUUGUAAUAUUUGUUCUAUAGUUGGGCCUAUUGUGAUAUUUGUUCGAUAUUAUAAUCUAACGGGUAUAAAUCUUCUAAGUUCCCGCAACCCUUGUUUAUUAGGUUAACCACAACAUUGUAUUCCUCCUUAUCAAUGAAACUUUAGGUAGCAUUUGGUAUGUAGACAAGACAGAACGGAACGGAGGUUCCAUGCUACGUUUGGUGUACGCUUAGGCUGGAAUGGAACGAAAGAUUAAAUGACAAUCGUACUCAUCCACUCUGACGAGUUCGACCUUAGCUGAGCCGCCGCCGGCAAGUUCAACGUCAUCCCUCACAUUUUCCACCUAAUCCUCGCUGUCCCAUCCCUCGAGCGAUAACGUCAACCACGUCCUUUCACCGGAUUUCCCCGGUACCUUUCUGUUCUUCUUUGUUUCCUGAGAAAAUUUCCUUUCUUUGGCUUUCUCAGGAACCCUUUAUCCGAUCUAGGUUUUCUUCGUUUUCCUGUUUUCGUCUUUGAAUAUAGAAAUCAAACACAAAGAAAAUUACUUGCGAGCGCAACAUCUAGCCUUGUCAAAGUUAGAUACUGCAAUAUUUUCCCAACUAACAUUGAGUAGUUUGUUGGAUUUCGGGACUACAUUAAUCCACUUGUAGGAAGCGUGGCGAAUGUACAUAUAUAAUUUAUAUUAACAUGCAUGAUUAAUUGAACUUUAGAUUUAUCUUAAACAUAUUAAAUUUAAGGGUUCUUUAGAGAAAGGCCUUUGAAACUCCUAUUUUCCAAACAAAAACCCACCCAAUAAUAAAUAUUGAAAUAAAACCCAAAAUUCAAAUAGACUACCAUGUAGACUAAUAUGUAACCAAUUAUUACAACAUAUUUACAACUUAUGCCACAAAACCCUAAUUAUGUCAAUAAAUAGUAUUACUCACCCUAAUUAUGAUUAGCAAUUAACCCCAUAUGGAAAUUUACCUUUCUUGUAUCAUAAAUAUUAGUAACAUGUAUAUAUAUACACUAGUUUAUCCAUAUUCAUAAACAAUUAUGGGCACAUUUUUCGUAUGAAAAAAGAAAAUCCUUUGUAUAAUCAAAUAUUUUGCAUCAAAUAAUAUUGUUUCAUAAAAAAAAAAACCAAUUAAUGUUCUUAGACAUUUUUUAUUUGUUAUUAUAUAUGCAUGUUAAAAAUAAUUUAUCUAUAUUUAUACGUAAAAUAUAAGUAAAUUAAUUUUGAAUCAAAUAGCAUUUAUUUUGUAGGUAAAUUAAAAUAGUAGUUACAUUAUUUUGGUCAAGUUAAACAGUGCCUAAAUUAUUUUGUAAAAACUAAACCAAGACAAAUUAUCACCAUUAAAAUGAAACAAUAGAUACGUUAUUUUUUUAUUUGAUUAAACAAUAGGUAAAUUAUAUUGUAGGUACAUUAUGUUUGUAAAAAAAAAAAUAGGAAAGUUGAAAGUAGUAGAUAUAUUAUGUUUAACCAAAUUUCCUUUAUUUGUAGGUGAAUUAUUUGUAUGCAUUAUUAUAUAUAUAUAUAUAUAUAUAUUGGGCACAUUUUAUUCCUAAUAUAUAUUUGUGCAAUGAUUCACCUAUAUUAUUAAAUAAAAUAUAGUGGACAAAUUAUUUUAUAAGUAAAUUAUUUUGCAUGUAUUAUUAGUGGACAAAUUUCAUAGUGCCCACUGCCCUUUCAGAUUUUCAUUUGGGUAAGAAAAUGACAAGAUCAAAUUAAAACUGUCAAAUUUUAUGCAAAUUUGAAAAACAAUUACAAAAUCUUAAGGAAAGUAUAACAUUAAUGCAUUUUUUUCAUUAAUCCCUCCCUUCAAAUCUACAUAGAAUUUAAUGUAUACAUUAAAACUACAAUUAGGGGUGUUUUAGGCAUCUAAAGAAUGAAAAAUUUGUAAAGGCAAAUAGAAUUAAUGACUUUGCUUAUGUGGAGCCUAGUCAUUGGGUUUUAUUCAGGUAAAAAGACUAUGUCGAGUUUUAUGUAAAGAACCUUGAGUUUCAAGGGCUAAAGUCAUAUUUUCAGUAAAUUUAAUCCAAGUAAUAGUGUUUAAUCGAUGCAUGUAUAUAAAUCUAUCACAUACUAUAGCCCUCCAUGAGUAUCCACAUGAAUUAUUGUCCGGUUGGCAAAGCAGACUGAUGAGCAGCUCUGUAAAAUGCUAUUGAAGCAAGAAUGCUUGUGGUAAGGACAAUGAGGUUACACAAUUGGCCUCAUUUUAAUUUAACCUCAUUGAAAUAUUCAAAAAAUUAGGUAAUAACAUCUAACAAUGUCUAUUAGCUACCAGAUUAUAUUUGAUCUGAUUCAAUACAUAUGAUGAACCUUAGUUAUGGUAUUCUAAUCAUAUACUAGGACAGCAAACGCUGAUAGACGAAGAGAUGUACAAGCAUGAAACUCAAACAAUGUGUACCUGAGCAAUCCUUGAUUAACCUUCAGGGGUCCAAACAUAUGAAGAAACAUAUAAUAUAUAUCAUGAUGCAACCGAUUUUCAUGCCAUGAAACCACAAAUUAUAACGGGGCUCAGUGGAAGCAUUUGUAAUUGAAAAACAUGAAAUUUAUUCCCCAAUAAACCUUCAUGAAACCAGGUUAAUUUACGCAUGUAGACAAGCAAAUUAAUAAGUUUAUAGUACUGAAUUAAAUGUCACAACAGUUACCUUCAUGAAAAGCUUCAACACUUGUAGACAAGAUGAAGCUUCAAGACCUCUUGUUAAAUAAAAUCCAUACCAUGCCAUCUCAAUUGAACCUAAUUAAAUAAUCUACACAUGUAGGCAAGAAGAUUAUCUCUUUUGUUAUAAUUAAGAUGCAAAAUUGAUCUAAGAACUUUGAAAUCACAGUUCCCUACAUCAAUUAACCCAGCUUGCUUAGUUGACGCUAGUACGUAAAGACAUUGAUCAAUUUCAACCUUCUCGCUUGAUGAAGCUAACGUCAUUAGCCACCACAAGAACCUACUUUCUCUUCUUUGCUCAUGAGUGUUGUAUAAUCCCUUUCUGAUGCGUUCAUAUUUUCAUAUAUUUUUAUCAUAUAUUUUUUUUUUGAAAUUUAUAUAUUUUAAUGGGUUAAAUGUACUAAACUAUAUUGUUUUUAACUACAUGAAAAAGGAGAUAAAACGAAGACUUGGCUGCCAAGAGUAAUUUUCCACGUGCAUAAUUACUAGAAGGAAUAAAGCAUGGACGCGAGACAAUAUGAUCAUGUGAUGACCUAGUGGUUAUGCAGAAGUAGUGCAAUGAUUCCUAUAUUGAUUAUGGACCAGUUAUUAGAAAUACAAUGGUGUGAGAGUUGCUAAAAACGGUUUAGGGGAAUUAAUUGCUAGUUUACUAUUUUAUUCUUUUCUUCUUCAUAAGGACUUUUUUUUUUGGUCAAACCGUAGAUAUUGUUAGGUUAGAUGUUAGAUUAGUCACAGACGAAGUUCAAACCCACACCGUCAUGCAAUGACUCAACACUUUUUCACCACUGUGGUAAAAUGCCACUUGCUUCUUGAUAGGACUUAAAGUUAGGAUUUUAAUUUAGGAAUUUAAGUGGAAGAGAUGGAGAAACAAAAGGAUUGACGUUUUCUUUUUAGGGUUUUCGUCCAGUUUCACGCGACGGGAAAUAAUUGGGAUUUUAGAUUUUAAUAUCCUCCAAAAUAUUAAAAAAUAAAUAAAAAAUCCACCACGGGCCGAUGCCGUGGUGAAUUUUCAAAAGGCUAUGUGGUUGUUUGAAGUAACCACAACGAGUAUAUCGCAUGGUGGUUUUGAUAUUUCAUCACGGGAUUAAAAACCGUUGUAGAUUAUUUACUUUUAACAACGAGCCAGAAUUUGACCGUGGUGAAUUAAUGUUAUCUACCACGAGCUACAUUUAACCGUGCUAAUUGAAUAGUUUCUACCACGAGCUGUUGAUGCCCGUGAUGGAAUUGAUGUGGUAAAUAUGCUGUUAUGUACUAGUUAUUGCCGUGAGUUAUAUAAGAAGAGUAUUGCUCCUUAUUUAGUUGAGAAACAAAACUAUAUUGGCAGAGGAGUCUGCCGCACAACAAGGAGGAAGAGCUACUUUGGAGUUUUUUCUUUGCUAGGUCUAUGAUGUAACCUGACCAUGUACUUAAUUUCCUUGUGACAUUGUUAUUAUCAAAUUUUAUUUCAUAUUGAGUAUCUUUUGCUAUUCGUAAUGCGCUUGAUUUUUUAUUUAGAUGCUUGACCUCCAUCUAGAUUUUAAUUGAGUUGAUUUGAUGCAAGUGAGAGUAAAUGCCACACUUAACUUGGGUUUAGCUUUGUGCAAUAUACCAUAAACACUUAAUUGUGUUUACCAAAAAAAAAAAAAAAAAAACACUUAUUUGUAGAUACCAUGCAAUUAUGGUUUUGUUUGAUCUUCCAACGAUUUUCAUAGAGCUUAAUGGGUUCUUACUUGUUUAAAUUCAUUUAUAUGCCAUAGAGGGUACACAUGUAAUGUAAGCAUACUUUGUUACUACGCCCAAUUGCCAAACAACACAUAUGAAGAUUGUUACAUAGAUUGCCAUAAACCUGAUUCUCUCUAUAAGCUAUGUUUCAUGCCUUGAUGCCAGAUCUUUGUUAUCACAUUCAAUUGCCAAACAACAAGUUUAAUAAGAGAAUUAUAUAUGCACCAGCUCAUCAAAUGAAGCUUAAUUAACUAGCCAGUUACACAUAUAUCUCAUAUACCGUUCGUGUUGCUAUAAAUAUUGUCAAGCCUAAUCCUUUAUAUAUUAGUAUAGAGUUUUUGUUCAUAUUAUUAUGUGAGAAAAUCAGUUCAAACAAAAUUGAACCAAUAGGUGUACUGUACAAAAACUCAUAUAUCGUCUCAUUAACUACAAUUUUGCAUGGUCCUUUAUGCAAAGAGAUCCUCAUUUUUUCCAAAAAAUAGGGAUUAGGUGUGAGGCCUACUCCACAUCGAACUUUAAUGAUCCGAACCGUCUAGUUUGUAAGUCUUAAUUCAUAGAUCAUCCUUACAAAGUAUUCAAUUCAAUCCAAAAUCAUUUGCAUAUUUAAUUAUCAAGAUAAAAUUUCAUUGUUUCUUACAUAACAAAGUAUUCGUUAAUUUUUUUGAACCCAAUUAGAUGUUUUAAAUAUUUCCAAUUUGGGUAAUAUUUUGCAAGGAUAAUCUAUGAGGUGCAACUUGAAAAAUAGACGGUUUGGAUCAUUAAAAUUUGAUGUCGUGUAGCCAUGUACGCAGUGUGGAAAUGAAAUUGAUAUAAAGAAAUGUGAAUAAUCAAGAACCAAGCUAACUAAUUUACGCUAAGGAUGCAUAAGUGCAAGCAUGGCGUUUAGGUGUAAUUACACAUAAUCAAAGCAUAAGUAGCCUAAGUGCAGUCCAUCAGGACGAAUAUUAAUUAUACAAUACCAAAGGCAAUCCUACAUUGGUGAUAAUCUGUUACAACCGCUGACGAUUCCUCGUAAGAUACCAACAAGCACUCCUAACUAGAACCUGGAGGGGCGCAAAAUAGAAAGUGUGAGUGGGCAAAAACAAAGCUUUUCAAAACCAUUUCACUUAUCCAAAGUAGUAACCCCUCACCGUAAAACCUGUACAAUUCCCAAAAAAUAACAUACAUGUUUAUAUCUCAAAACCAUAUUCGAAAUAACAAUUCCACAAAUAUACCAUGUCAAAUCUCAGCACAAAAAUAAGUAAGCCAUGUGAAAUAAACCAAUAUGAAAUAGAAUGCCAGCCGGAGUCACCCAAAGUGACCUGCACGGCUGGGUCCACAACUCAUCAAUCAAAUCCUGCACACGAGUCGGAACCACCUAAUGUGGUCUAUACGACAGGCUAGGUGUAAAUAAAUAAACUCAAGUGCUACGAUCACGUGAAGGCUGUGCGAAGUAUCGCAAGUCACCUACCAGUCGGAACCACCUAAUGUGGUCUGUACGACAGGCUGGCACCUGCCUUGGAUCCAAGGUGAGCGUGUGGUGUGGGAGGCCCUAUCCUCUGGCGAAGCACUAACAUCGGGGUGCAGGAUAACAAUCUCUAAAUGCAUCUCAACACAAUUACUCACUGCCAUCAUUACCAUCAAAAUACUCACCUAAAACUUACCUGAGCAUCCACAGCGUCAAGCAACAAAAUAUAUAACCAUACUAAUGCAUAAUCGAACAUAAAGAGCAUUUGACAUGGCAUAUAUAAAACCAAACCAUUUAAUUAAGUUUUCUGGGAAAAAUACCAAGUGUGUAUGUGUGUGUUUGUGUGUGUAUAUAUAUAUAUAUACUAAAAAUCAAAAGCCCACUCACUGGUAUGUGGAAGUGUCAUAGCCCCUGAGUCUCACUUGAUUGCGCUCGUCCUCUAGAUAGGUCUCACCUAUAUGCGAAUCAACUAUUUACACGUUAUUUUAAAGCACAUAACCAAUACUAGGUAAUAACUUCUCAUACAUUGCUCAAAUGGGGUAUUUGAAUAUAUCAACGUGGCCUACUCAACCCCACAAACAUCCCCAUAUAUUUAGAAAAACUUUCCAACAUCCUACGAGUCCUCACGCGCCAGCCAAGGCACAGCCACAUGCGCGGCCAUGCGCAGGCACGUGCCUGGCACACCAAACGAAACAAUUAACGCCGUUAGGGAAUAUUCCGUUAAAUAUAAGCAUAUGCGUUAAAGAUACCUAAUACCGUUAAUUGCCGUUAGGAAUAUUCUAUCAAAGUUGACGGAAUAUUCAUCUUCUUCUCCGGUGAGUCACCGGAUUCCGUCGCCGUUGCUGGAAAUUGAGAAAUACUUCUAAUCGUCAUAUCUCUUCCAUUUGUUAACCAAAUUUUAUGAAUUUUUCACCAAAAUGAUGCUUUCAACCAGUAGAACAAAAUCUUACCAGUUUUAGGUCCUAAACUCAUGGGAUCUUGCCGGAAAAAUCACGAUAAUUCGGCCAACUCUGCAACUUGUCAAACCCAAGCUUCCUAACGUCAAAAACACUUCAAAAUCCUUCCUUAAGCUUCGUGAAGAUGAUUUAAGACCUCCAAAAAGCUCAAAACUUCGAGAAACACUCGCGAUCACAUCGAGUGAACAGUGCACCUCCUCGGAGCUUCUUGGUUCUCGAGUUCCCGACGUCCUCACGUCCAACCAAAAAUAAGUAUGAGUUUGUAUGGUUACAAGGAAGGUGAUGAUGGUGUUUGUAACCUCUAUCCGUACCUGAAAGGGUAGUUUCACGAGUUGACCGUACAAGUUGUAUGAACAAUGGAGGAAAUCCGAGAGAGAAUAGAGAGAGUGAGGGUGUGUGUGUGGUCCAGUUUGGACUACCAAACAAAAAACAACAUAAACCUAAGUUCUAAUUGGGUCCAAAUACUUAGGAGGAAAAUGGAUUGGUCCAAAUCCAUAGCCCAUUUACACACACACAACUCAAUGCUCAAGCGUAUAAUCAUCAUUCCACACAAUCGAUGACAAAAAUAGAUUAGUUUUCGGGACGGACUGUCACACCACAACUAAUCCCCAUUUUUAUAAAAAAAAAAAAUAAGAAUCUCUUCCCUUAAAGGCUUUCUAUAGAUAUAUCUUCCACACAGUAUCAUGGACCAAAAUAUUGGAAAUUGGAUUUGAAUUAUAUUUAAUUUUAAUUUCCAAACGUGAAGCUAGAGGCAACAUAUACACUCUUGCACUAGUAUCGAAACACUUUGACAAAAAUAGUCUCAAACAAAUAAGAUAUAUAUAUAUAUAUAUAUAUAUAUAUAUAAAAGAAGCCUUUAAGGGAAGGGAUCCCGAUUUUUUUUUAUAAAAGUGAGGAUUUGUUGUGGGGUUCACACGACAUCAAAUUUUAACGAUCCGAAUAGUUGCAUCUCAUAGAUCAUUCUUGCAAAAUAUUAGUCAAAUUGGAAAUAUUUAAGACAUCUAAUUGGGUUUAAAAAAUUAACGAAUACUUUGUUAUAUAAGAAACAAUGAAAUUUUGUUUUGAUAAUUAAAAAGGCAAAUGAUUUUGGAUUAAAUUGAAUUUUUGUAAGGAUGAUCUAUGAAUUGAGACUUACAAACUAGACAAUUCGGAUUGUUAAAUUUCAAUGUGGAGUGGGCCCCACACCUAGUCCCCAUUUUUUGAAAAAAAAUAUAAGGAUCCCUUUGCAUAAAGAGCCUGUAUAUAUAUAUAUAUACACACACACACACAUACAUACAUACAUAUGCACCUCGGCAUGUCUUCUUUAUGCAUAUGAUAUAGAUACUCGUGUUUGGGAAAAUUUAAACAUGCAAUGCAAACUCUAGAUACAUGGUUGGCUUUAGAAAAUAACAUGUACGUGCUUGAUCAAACAAUUGCGAGGGCUUAUGCAUUGUUCAUGUCAUAUUAGCGUAUCACUCAAAGCAAUUUGUAGAGGGAAAGUGAGUGAAUUGUACGCGAGUUUCAUAUAGAAUAUAAUUCAUGGCAAGAAGAUUAGUGUAACGAUACCUAGAUUGCAGCGAACAAUUCAGAGAAAUCUAUCAUUGCUCAUUAUAUUUAAACUUCACCGAAUUGGUCCUAAUAUGACUUGAAUCAGAUUGAAGUACACAAACAUAUAGAACAUUAAAAUCGAUAUCUCAAUUCUUGUUCAAAAAUAUCACAUGCCCAUUUUGAUACAUGUCGCCAAAACUUACAUAAAAUUGGAUCCAUAUUUAUGAGAUACUGAACUGAAGCAUGACAUUUAAUGUAGGUACAUGCUCUACAAUGAUCAAUGCACCGCUUAUGUGAGUAUGUCUUAAUCUUAUAAUCAAUUUAAGCUUUUAGGGAUCCAAUUAAAUAUAUACUAACCAAACUACAAUAUCAUAAACCAUCAUGAAAAUCGAAGUCAAUGAAACAAACCAUUUUGUUGUGGUAGAUGACUUCGUUCAGCUUGCUAAGUGGAGGUCCUUGUCAGUUUUCAUGUGAGAUCGGAACAGAUAGGGUGAACUGCCAAUUUAAACAUUGAAUUAUCACCUGAGCGAAAAUUAGGUCCCUAAACUAUAUUUUUAGAAAAAUCAGUCCUUAAAUUAUAAAAAUCAAUUAAUUACAUCAAAGAAAAAAAUUUGAAGCUACUAUAUUUAAUUUUUCAUCAAUUUAAGUCAUGUUACUUGCAUGUGACACACAUUGGAGGGUAGCUAGUAAUUUUACUUAAAAAAAUAGUGUAUGGAGUUAACUUUGGAGGGUAAAUUAGACGUUAGAUUUGCAACCUAUAUCAAAUAUUAAGGGCUUAUAGGCGAGAAAAAAAUAGUAUUACACUCUAAAAGGUGUCAAGUGACUUAAUUUGACGAAAAAUUGCAUAAAAUAAUUUUUUGAAUAUAAUAGAAGGGAUGAAAUUAACAAUUUUAAUGAAUUUAGGCACUAUUGAUCACCACAUCAACAAUAAUGUGAAAGUGAUUAUAUUGAUCACAAUUUCAAUAAACCGAAACUAUUAGCAUGAACAUUGAAAUAGAAAACCAAAAGCAUGCCAUGGUCUCCUAGUCAUAGUUAAUUGGGUAAAUUACAUUUUACCCCCUCAGGUUUGGGGCGAUUUCAAUUCUUUACAACAUCUUUAAAAUAUUUCAAUUUCAUAUAUUUACUGUAAGAUCCCACAUCGCCCAGGGGUGAGGAUCCUAUAACCCUUAUAUGUAUAUUCUCAUCUUUACCUAGCACGAGGCCUUCUGGGAGCUCUCUGACAUCAGAUUCCAUCAGAGCUCCGAAGUUAAGCGAGUUCACGCGGAGCAUUCCCAGGAUGGGUGAUCCACUAGGAAGUUCUCGUGUGAGUUCCCAGAAACAAAACUGUGAGGGCGUGGUCGGGGCCCAAAGCGGACAAUAUCGUGCUACGGCGGAGUCGAGCCCAGGAUGUGGUGAGGGCCCGGGCCGGGAUGUGACAAUUUGGUAUCAGAGCCAAUCCCUGCCCGGAAGUGUGUCGACCAGGAUGUCAGGCCCCUAAAAGGGGUGGAUUGUAAGAUCCACAUCGCCCAGGGGUGAGGAUCCUGUAAGCCUUAUAUGUAUAUUCUCAUCUCUACCUAGCACGAGGCCUUUUGGGAGCUCACUAGCUUCAGGUUCCAUCAUAACUCCGAAGUUAAGCGAGUUUGCAUGAGAGCAUUCCCAGGAUGGGUGACCCAUUGGGAAAUUCUCGUGUGAGUUCCCAAAAACAAAACAUUGAGGGUGUGGUUGGGGCCCAAAGCAGACAAUAUCGUGUUACGGCAGAGUCAAGCUUGAGAUGUGAUGGGGGCCCGGGCCGUGAUGUGACAUUUACUAUCAUUUAAUUUCAAUUUCAUACAUCCGUUAGACAAUCCAUUAAGUGAUGACGUGGCUGCCAAAUUUGUGCCACGUGGCAAAAUUUUGUUUUUUUUAUGCAUUUAAAAUAUUAUAAUGUCUUUCUGCUGCGUAGUGGUUGCGAAUCAUGUCUUCCUGCUGCAUGUGCUGUUGCCGAAUCUCGCACAACACCCUCUCUGCAUGCCUGAGAUCGUAGAAGUGGAUGGUCACGAAUCCCCUUUCCAAGGAUCCGGAUGUCCAUAAUCUGGUGCCCGAGGGUGGGGUGGGGUGUGCGAAGACGAUGGGUGUGUGUGUCUGUGUUUUUUUUUUUUUUUUUUUUAAAUAGGGUAAAUUAUUAUAAUAUUUUAAAUGCAUACAAAAUUAUUAUUUUUGCAACGUGGUACAAAUUUGGCAACCACGUCAUCACUUAACGGUUUACUUAACGAAUUUUCUAAUAGAUGUAUGAAAUUGAAAUAAAAUGAUAAGUAAAUGUAUGAAAUUGAAAUGUUUUAAAGAUGUUGUAAGGAAUUGAAAUCGACCCCAAACAUAAAGGGGUAAAAUGUAAUUUACCCUAGUUAAUUCAAUAAAGCUAUAAACCAACUUAUCAAAUCGUUCUUUAUCAUAGUUAAUCCAAUAUCAUCAUGAAAUGCUUAAAAUCAAAAGCCCAAGCUUAGGGUUUGAAAGGUGGUGACGGUGAAAGCAAAUAUUGAACUCAACAUGCACUAAAGAAAUAAAAAACAAUCGGUCCAAUCUUUGAUUUUUUUUUUUUUUAUUUGACUGAGACUUUGGGUUUAUAAGACCAAAUUUGGAACUGAUAAUAGAAUAUCUGUGAUACAGAUAAUAUUUUAAUUAUUAUGCCAAGUAAAUGCAAUCAAACAUUGGAUUUUUUUAUUUGACUGAGACUUUAGGUUUGUAAGACCAAAUGCACAAAAUAUUUACUCCGGUGCCACCGUUGAGGUUAUCAAACCAAAGGGGGGGCUUGGGAGAGGUCGUGGGAGAGGAAGAAGAAGGAGAGUAAAUAUCACCUCUGCUACGAACGAAGGGUACGAUGAUUUGUCGAGAAAUUUAAGUGAGGUUCAAAUUGAGGCAUCUUAGCAGUAUAAAGAUGUUCAAGUACACUUGAAGCCUAAUGCAGCCACCACAAUUGUCAAGGGUUUGGGGUUGCCUUGACAGUCCAAACUUUGAUGGAGGUGAUUCGCUUCCUUUAAUCCCUCUAUGAUUUGUUUGUCAGAAACUAAAAAGAACUCUCAUAGAAUGAACCAACUCAGAUACAAUUUGGUUACCAGAAAGGCUUUAAUGCUAUGCCUAUUGGCUUGGCUAGAGGUCUGAGCUUGUGGUGGAAGCAUGACUUACAGGUGGAAAUUGUGACUUGUUCCAAGUUCAUCAUCGAUUCUGUAGUGUCUGCAGCAUCUGAUGGGUGGCGGGCUCACUGCUCCUUGUACGAGCUGCCCCACUACAACGACAAACAAAUAAUUUGGGAGGUACUUGGAUGGUUGGUGGAGACCUAAAUGAGCCUUGGAUUGUUGGUGGACACCUAAAUGAUGAGCUAAUAUGACAACAUGAAAAAGAAGGGGGAGGUACUUCGAACCAAAUAAGCAAGAUUUCUCAGAGAUUUUGUUGAUUCCAAAUGCUUGAUCGAUGUUGGCUUCUACGGCCCCAAAUUCACAUGAGUUAGGAAGGAAGAUGAAUUGGUUGUCCUUCAAGAAUGGCUGGAUUGAUUUUUGGUUAAUGAAGCUUGGCUUGAUCGUUGGCCUAACACACCUGUGGAUGCAAAUUUCUUCCUCCUUGAUCUUGGACAAUUUUGCACCUACAAAACAAUUAACACCUUAGGUUAAGGCCAAGAGUCCCACGCGCCCACGAUGAAUGGGGGGGCUUUGGCCGAAGAACCUCCGAUGCCAAAGUUAGAAUUUAGAGAGAAAGAGUGUUUAGAGAAUUUUGGGAUUUUUGCCAAAGUGUUGGAAUUGGCUUUUUUGGUGAGAAUGAGAGUAUAUUUAUAGGGAUAGGAAGUGGCUAGGGUUUUUGUGUUUGAUUUAGGCUUAAUUAGCCAAUUUAUUUGGCUAUUAAACAUAAAAUGAAUGUUUUGGUGGUUUUUGGAAUUAAUUGGCUAGUUAAUUAGGGUAAUUAAAAAGGGAAAAUAGUGGAAAAGGUGGAGAAUAAGAUGGUUUAUUUUUCUUGAUGGGAUUGGCCGGCCAUUUUAGUAGUUUUAGGUUUGGAUGGGUGUUUCAAUUGAUUUUUAAGGGAUUGAUUAGGCAAUUAAUCCCUUAAUUAGUCAAUUAUUAUGAUUUUAGGAAAUAUGAAAGGAAUAAGUAUAUUAUUUAGCUAAUUGAUUAGCUAAAUAAUGAAAUGGGAAAUAUAUGAAUAAAUUAGGUUUUAAGUUGAUACCUAUUUUGGGCACUUUUGACUUGGUUGAGGGAUAAUUGCCUGCUGUUUGCGCGUAGGAAUCCCAGUACACCUCAAGGGUAGUUUUGUCUUUUAUUUGUCAAAAAUCCACGUGUCGCCUUGUGAUUAUUUUUGGCUCCACAACCUGCUGGGUUGCUUGUAGGAAAGGGCAACAGGUGUAGAGAUUUUCUUGCUUUAGGAAACUUAAGAUUGCUUCCUAUUUUGAUGUUGAUUCUCUCUUUAAAUGGAAAUUAGAUCCUUCUAGGAAAGGGAAAUAAAUUUCUCUCAAAACCUAUUUAAGUACACGUUAAGUGGGUUAUUAAAUCAACUUUGGAGAGCGAUUUAUUCUACCCAACAAGAGAGAGAAAGUUAGAGGAUAUUUGUUCCCCCCUCCUCUAGCAAUCUUCUACAUCUUGCCCGUGCAAAUGACCGUCUUUCGUUGAUUUCUUCGUCUUCUCAGUGCCGCACCGAUGUAAGAAAAAUUUAAUUUUUCUUGCCUUCUUCUUGGAUAGUGCUAUUGCAGGGCAGUCGUCGGGGUGGUGCGGCACGUCGGCUGGCAGGCGCCAGGAGUUGGCUCGGCAUGGGCCGAGGAGAUGUCGUGGCAGGGACCACUGCUUGGGCAGCUUGGCUUGGCUUGAGCCAAGGGCAGCUUGUGCGGCUGGGGUCGCGGAUUGUGGCAUUGGGGCGCAGUGUUAGGCGAGCCGCAUGGCUCAUGUCCUUUGGGCUCUUGGACCUGACUCGGACCAGGCUAGCAAUUGAGAGAAAUGAGGAGAUUGUGGGUCUCAUGGACUGCUGGAAUGUUGGGUUGAACUCCCCUACUGGGUACCACGAAUGGUGUUGGCUACUUUAACUCUCUUCAUCAGGAGAAACGUGGGUUGCUCCCAAAAUAAGAUGUGAAUAGGAUCAAGGCGGAUGCAUUGGUUCGUCCAAUCACCGUUAUGGAUCCUGCUGCAAGUGAAGGUGGGAAUAGGGAUCUUCCCUGCCUGCUCAAGAGAUGCCGGCUGAGAAAAAACCAAAGACUUUUUUCGCUGCUUAUGCAAAGGAUGAAAAGUUGAUUGCUGCUUAUAACCAAGUGAUCCACUUCAAGAGAAUCGUCGAUAGGCUUGAACCCUAAGUGUUGGAACUUCAAGGUGUACUGAAGAUCAACGAAAAUUUGAAGAAAGAAGUGGAUGAGCUGCAGCACGUCCAUGUUGGUAUUGGUGAAGUUGGUGCCCAGGCUGGAGCAGUCGGGGGUGAUGCCGCUGCUAAGAGCUUCGCGGCUGCUGAAGGUGUGGCGACGGAAUAGUCGUGGGAUGUCCAGGCUGCUAAAGUGUAGUCAUCUAGGUAGCCUUUAAGAUUUUCUUUGUUUUUCCUUAUAGCUCUUGUUUUGCUUGAACUCCUUCGGCCUUUGCUAGUUGUUUAUAAACAUGUUUUCCUUCGCUUUUCUUCAUCUUCGCUUCUUUUGUUCAUGCCCUAACCUUUAGACUUGAUAAACCAGUGGCAGGCAUGCUACUUUUUUAUAAGCAAACAAGCCUGCGUAGUCUAUGCAGCCGUAGGUGUUGGUGUAGAACUUUGCAAAGUUGUUAGCCAUUGGGCUAGAUCUUGUAGCGGUCGAGGCCGUCCCAUUUGAAAACCUCCAUGAAAACCAGAAGGAUAGGGAUGAAGGAGAAGAUGGCAAAGAGGAAGAGAAUGUUAUGGCAGUAGAUGACGUAAUCUGACCUGGACGCAGAGUAGUUGAACCACAGUGUAGAUCGUCGAGGCUUCUUCGAUGGUCUGGUAGAGCGAACUCGGGCGAAAUAGUGUAGAUCAGCGACCGAGCUGAGCUGAGAUAUCAACGCGAUCUGGUUUAUGGAUAUUUGGAUCUUCCGGAUUGUUGGAGAGAGAGAGAGAGAGAGAGAGAGAGAGAGAGAGUGAGUGAUUUCCAUCCCAUAAACCAGAUUUGGGUUUCGGGUCUUUCUUGGGUUUCUUGCUUUAGCCACCAUUGUGAGAUCUCAGUGUCUCUGUCUGAAAGCUCAGCAUUGGUGAGCUUGCUCAAAUCGGGGACACCCUUCACCUUAAACGCCUCAUCGUUUGGCGUGAAAAUAGUCAGUCCCUUGUCAGUCCUAGAGAGAGACUACAAGACAGAGAGAGGAGAGGGAGAAAGAGACCUUGCGGUGGAAGAUAUAGAGGUGUUUUCAUGUUUCAGGACUUGUUCCUUCAACUGAAGGCCUUCGAGGACGAGCUUCGUGGUUUGUUUUGGGCCAACGAAGUGGACUCUUGGGAGCUUGCGGACAUGAAUGGCGGUAUUUAUGGUUCUGUUUAAGGAAGAACAACGUGAGGGCAAAGAGAUGAGAAGAGACGAAGAAUAACAAGAGCACAUCUGUUUUUUUUUAUUUCUUUUUGUUUUGGUUUCUAUGUGCGACUGACUAAGAGAGAAUGUGGCUCCGUGGGUUUUCUGGGAAAGCUUUGGGUUCUUGGAUUUUUGCAGAUUCACAGCGGAGGUGAAAAUAUGAAAGAGAACCGACAUAGCUUUUCAUGUCGAUUCCCACAGACGGCGCCAAAUGUUGAUGCACAAAAUCGGAGGGGUCUUGGAACAACGUAAAUCCGACCGUUAAUCUGCAAGAAAGUAAAGAACACAAGAUGUAUCGUGGUUCACCCCAAUGUUUGGGCUACGUCCACACUGAUGUUGAUAUUGUUUCACUCAGAAUGGUGAAUAUACAAGAAGGCUAGAGGCCUAAACCUUGACCUCCCUAAUGAGGAGAGUGAGGAGUCCUUUUAUAGAUUAAGGGCUCCUCACUUAUUACAUAUUUGCCCCUUCAUUUAUUACAUAAUUACAUUUGGGUCCCCCGAGUAUUUAUACAGGGUCUAAAUAGAGAGGCCCUAAAUAUGAUACAAACAAAUUACACAUGCAUAUUUUGAAGGUUAGGUUUUCCUAAAGUAUGCCCUACUUGGAACCUCCAGCAUAGAAUGUAUAUUUAACACGCAACCCAUCCGUGGCGUCUAGAUUGAAUGUGAACAUGCAAGACUCAUUAAGUUUUGUGAAAACCUUUUGAAAAACCAUACAACCCUUAAGACGUGUUGUCCAUCCUAAGAAGUUACACAUAUUAAUCACAAGAAGCCAGUGCCAAUUUUAGGGACAGCCUUCUGCCAAAAUUGCAUCAAAUAAUUUUUCUAAAUAUCCUAAUGGUGGCCAAUCAUCAAGACAAUUAGAUAGUUUAAAGUACAGUGAUUAAUAUUUCAAAACUUGCAUGCAUAAUAUUGUCACAGCCCGUCCCGAGAUUUUCUUAUUCAGGACGUGAAAUGACGGAAUUGCCCUUAACGAGCAUUACGGUAUAUGGGUGUGUGACAUUAUUUGGUCUAAUAUUAGAUAUGUUUUGGAAGAAAAUAAAUAAGAUAAGUUGAUUAAAUAAGGUUAUUUGUAUUUUGUGGUUAGGGAUUAAGAUUGGUGUAUGGUUUUGGUUGGGCCACACACGCAGGACCUCUCCCUCUCUCCUUCCCCCGGGCUCACUCUCUCUCCUCCCUCACGACUCUCUCUCUAAGUCUCUCACUCUCCCUCACUCUCAAACCGUACGGACCAACACCCCCAAACCCUGAAACUUCACGGAUCGAAGGUGCUAAGGGCACCAUUGUGCUCGUGAAGGCUCUACGAACUCAAGGGCACCAUUUUCAGGUAAGGAAUCCUUCGUUUUCACGUUGAAAUCUCGAGGUCCGAAUUUGGCACUAUUCAUGAACUUUAUCUUGGUUGAUUUUUAGGACAAUCCAAGCUUGUAGUGAGCUUAGUGAGGUCAUAAGGAAGCUCGGGGACGUUCGUUUGGAAGUUUUGGACGUUGGGAUCACCACGUUCAAAGUUGGCCGGUUCUUGUAGAAUUUUUCCGGUGAGAUUUCGUUGUUUUUAGAGCUUUAAAGUAGUAUAGCGUGAAACUACAUGUUGAGGGCUUCAUUUUGGUAUAAAAUACGAAGAAAAUGGUUGAGAAACGAAGGAGAACGAGACGUUCAAAGUUUGGCCGGAAACCGGCCGCCGGAAAGUUUAGUCCGGCGAGCCCGAGGUUGAAGAUGGUGCGCGUGGGGGUGCGUGUCCCCGUGCCUGUCCUGGCGCGUGGGGGCACGUGCGGCCUCCAAAAACUUUUCUAAAAAUUACUCGACGUCCGUGACGUCGAGUAGGUCGAUGUGGUAUAUUUAUAUACCCAAAUUGAGCAUCGUAUGAGAAGUUAUUUCGAAUUGUUGGUUAUGUGUUUAAAUUAACGUUUUUAUAGUUGUUUCGCAUACAGGUGACACCUAUCCCGAGGACGAGCACAUCCAGGGACGUCAUGGGGGUUACGACCUAUCGACUUAUCUGUGAGUGGGCAGUUUUGUUUUUGUAUUACCUAUAUACAACUGUUUUUCCCAGAAAAUUCGUUUAUAUGAAAAUUAUGAUUUAAAUUGCCAUGCAUGCAAUUGUUGAGAUAAUUAGUUUGAUAAUUGAUGCAUAUAUAUGUGAAUUGACGCGGUGGACGCACAGGUGAGUUUUAUUAUUAUUCAGAUGAGUUAUUUUAUAUGAAUUGCAUUGAAAGCUCAUAACCUGCACCUAGGUGUUAGUGCUUAUAUUAUUAUUCACCACACCGCACGCUCGUCUUGGAUCCAAGUAGGUGGAUGUCGUACAGACCAUGUGAGGGUUCCGACAUGCUAGUCGUAUAGAUCACUAGAUGUGAUUCCGACUAGUGGGUGACCUUAGUUAUGUGCGCUGAUGAUUGAUGAGAGACGCACUAGGGCGUAUUUAUACACCUUUCAUCAUACAGACUACUAUACGUAGUUCCGAGUGAUGUGCAGUGUAGUGCCGUACAGGUCACAGUUGGUGACUCCGGCAGGACCGUAUAGGUCACUGUGGUGACUCCGGCUGAGUGGGAUGUUGAGCUUUAGAAUCAGCCGUACAGGACUAUUGUAGGGUCUCCGGUUGAUUUAUUAUUUCACCUGAUUGAUAUUGAUGCAUUUCUGAUUAUAUUUGGCAUGGCGUGGCACAUUAUUUCUGAGAUGUUAUGUUGAUGGCUAUGAGCUGAGUUUUGAUGAUAUGUGUAUAUAUAUGUUUAUAUACUAUUUUUCUGGGAAAAUAUACAGGUUUUACGGUGAGGGGUUAGAAAUGUUUUAAAUGAAAUGUUUUGGAAAAUCUUUGAUUUUACUGAGCCACUCAAUUUUUUUUUGCGCCCCUCCAGGUUCUAGUUAGCGGUUGGUGGCUCUCGAGGUCUUUUUCAGCAUUCUGACAGACGCUCUUCAUGUAGGACUCACCUGCGGGUGAUGUAUUUUAUUUUGGUCCUACUUGACUGCACUUAAACCUAUGCUCUGAAUUUAUGUGUUUACCUUAUAACUCAUCCUUUUAUUCUAGUAGGUGGUUCUACUAGAGAUUGAUUUGAACUCCUUCAUUUUCUGUUAUAUCUUGCUUCCGUGUCGCACUCUUGGUUACGUCACGCUCACGUGACGGCCAGCACGCCUUGAUCCUCUGGGUCGGGGUGUGUCAGUUUGGUAUCAGAGCCUAGGUUGCAGUCCUGUAUAAUUGUUAAUGCUUUAAUGAUCUUUUGAUGUUUUCUGUCAGAAUUAUGCCGCCUCGUAGAGAGCGUAGGGAGUCCCGCCGUACUCCUGAACCUAAUUUCCCGGAUAUCACUCAGUUAGGGGAAGCAAUGGCCCAGGCUUUUCAGAAUGCAAUCCGUCCUCCUCCCCCACCUCAAAGGACACCCCUGGAGACCAUGUACAAUUUGAAACUGGAUCGUUUUAUGGGUAAUGAAGGUCACGAGGGGGCAGAGAAAUGGCUAGAUCAUAUUGAAAAGACAUUUCAGGUGAUGCAAAGUCAGGGGAACUUUCCAGCUGAUAGGUGGGUUGAGACCACUACCUGGUUUUUGGGUCGAGAGCCGCCAGGUUGGUGGAGGAAUCAGACGCAAUUUAUGUCCCCAGCUAUGGCAUCUGAUUGGGAAGUAUUUAAAGAUAAUUUCAAGAAAAGAUUUGUCCCCCCAGAGUAUAUUGAUCGCAAGAAACAUGAAUUCACUCGAUUGAAACAGAAGAAUAUGACAGCUCAUGAGUACUACAGAAAGUUUACUGAUUUGUCUCGUUAUGACCCUGAUACAGCUGGUAAUCAGGAAGAGAUGCUUCGACGUUUCAGAUCUAAGAAAAAGUGGCGGACUUUUGCCAGUGCACUUUCCUGCGCCGAUUAUCAUGAGUUUUUUGAGAUUUUGGUUAGGAUGGAGGACUCUGAUAAUCUUCCCAGUGAGAGUGAGGAUGACGAGGACAAGAAUGACGGUCAGAAGAAGGAUGAUAAAGGUAAAGGUAUCUCUAUUCCGGGACCUCGCAAGACGCAGAAUUUUAAGAAGAGUGGGGCGAGUUCGAGUUCUUCUAGUGGUGGAUAUAGUAUUACUGGCCCGAGGAAAGGUGGUGGUAGAUUUUUUGGUGGGCCUAGAUUUCAGAGGCAGAGGGAUUCUGGUGGUGGUGGUUCUGGCGCUCCAUGGUGCCGCCGUUGUAAUUUUCGUCAUCAUGGUGAGUGUAGGAGAGGUAGUGGUGCUUGUUUUACUUGUGGGCAAAUGGGACAUCGGGCUUCUCAGUAUCCCCAGGAGCCUUAUUCUCAGACAGGGUAUUCUCAGGACUUUGGUGGUUAUUCUUCUUAUUCAUCUAUGCCAGCUGGUGGAUCUCAGUGGCAUCAGGGAGGUCAGCCCCGUCAGGGGGAAGUUGCUACUGGUGGUGCAGGAUCAUCUAGACAGCCUAGUCAGUUAGGCCAGGGACGUUCUCCCCAGGGGUGAGGUAAUCAAGGCAGUAGAGGUCGUGGUGGACGACAGCAAGCUCAGGGGCGUGUUAAUCACAUCUCACUGCAAAAGGCUUAGAAUCAUCCGGACUUGAUCAUGGGUACGUUAAAUGUUCUUGGUCAUUUUGCUAAGGUUUUGAUUGAUUGUGGUGCUACGUACUCUGUGAUUUCUCAUACGUUUGCUCAAAUGACUCAACCUCACCCUUCACCUCUAGGAUUUGAUUUAGAGUUUGCCAUGCCUAGAGGAGAUAAAUGUUAUGUUGAUAGUGUGUAUCUUGGGUGUCCAGUGAUGGUAGAGGGCAUAGUUAUGCCAGCUGAUCUUAUUCCGUUAGAUAUUGUGGAUUUUGAUGUGAUUCUAGGAGCUGAUUGGUUGCAUUAUAAUCGUGCCCAUAUUGAUUGUUAUGGGAAAUCAAUUACUUUUUAUCGCCCUGGACUACCCGAGGUUACUUUUGUGGGCGAAAGAGGUGGGGUGAGACAUGGUGUUAUUUCUGCCAUAAGAGCAAGGAAAUUGUUAUCGAAGGGUUGUCAGGGAUAUUUGGCACAUGUGGUGUUAAAUGAUGUUGUUCCUACCAGUAUAGAGGAAGUUGGUGUGGUCAGGCAUUAUCCUGAUGUAUUUCCUGAUGAUUUGCCGGGGUUGCCGCCAGACAGAGAGGUGGAAUUCUCUAUUGACUUGCUUCCAGGUACUGACCCUAUAUCUCUAACUCCUUAUAGAAUGGCUCCUGCUGAGUUGAGAGAAUUGAAAAUUCAGUUGCAAGAAUUACUUGAUAAGGGUUUCAUUCAGCCUAGUUCGUCACCUUGGGGUGCUCCAGUAUUAUUUGUGAGGAAGAAAGAUGGAACUCUGAGAUUAUGCAUUGACUAUAGGCAAUUGAACCGGGUAACGAUUAAAAACCAUUAUCCAUUGCCUCGCAUCGACGAUUUGUUUGAUCAGCUGAAAGGUGCGUGUGUAUUUUCUAAGAUUGAUUUGAGAUCCGGUUAUUAUCAGCUGAAAAUUAAGAGGAAGAUGUACCUAAGACAGCUUUCCGAACCCGUUACGGACAUUAUGAAUUUCAGGUUAUGCCAUUUGGGUUGACUAAUGCACCUGCAGCUUUCAUGAGGUUGAUGAAUGAGGUAUUCCAGCAAUAUCUUGAUAAAUUUGUUAUUGUUUUUAUUGAUGAUAUUCUGGUAUACUCUAAAUCUAAAGCAGAUCAUAUCCGACAUCUUAACUUGGUGUUAAAGAAAUUGAGGGAGCAUCAGUUAUAUGCUAAGUUCAGUAAAUGUCAGUUUUGGUUGACUGAAGUGGCAUUUUUUGGGCAUGUUGUAUCGGCUCAAGGAAUUCAAGUUGAUCCUCAAAAGAUAGCAGCGGUGGAGAAUUAGGAGCAACCUCGAACCGUCACUGAGGUACGAAGUUUUCUUGGUUUAGCAGGUUAUUAUCGACGGUUUGUUCAGGAUUUUUCUAUGAUUGCCUUGCCGUUAACGAAGUUGACCAGGAAGGAUGUUAAAUUCGAGUAGGAUGAAAACUGUGAGCGGAGUUUCCAGCAAUUGAAAUAUUGCCUCACUCAUGCUCCAGUAUUGGUACUUCUUGAUGAUAGCGGUAAUUUUGAGAUUUAUAGUGAUGCUUCGUUGAAUGGUUUGGGAUGUGUUUUGAUGCAGCAUAAUAGAGUGAUUGCCUAUGCUUCUCGGCAGCUGAAAUCAUGAAAGGAACUAUCCCACUCACGAUCUUGAAUUGGCAGCUAUCGUCUUCGCUUUGAAAAUUUGGAGGCAUUAUUUAUAUGGUGAGAAGUGUAAGAUCUUCACUGAUCACAAGAGUCUUCAGUAUCUGUUUACUCAGCAUGAUCUUAAUCUUUGUCAGCGAAGGUGGAUGGAAUUGUUAAGUGAUUAUGACUGUACUAUCGAGUAUCAUCCGGGUUGUGCUAAUGUGGUAGCUGAUGCACUGAGUAGGAAACCUCAAGGUAGACUCAAUGCCUUAUAUGCUAGUUGUGUUCCUCUUCUUGCUGAACUGAGGGCAACUGGAGUAAAGUUGGAGUUGGAAGAUCGAAGUGGAGCCUUUCUUGCUAGUUUUCAAGUCAGGCCAGUUUUGGUUGAUCGUAUACUCGAAGCUCAGAUGGUGGAUGAGGAAAUUCAGGGAAUGGUUCAAUUAAGAAGUGAAGGGAAAAAGAAAGACCUCAGAAUUCGGGAAUCAGAUGGUAUGCUUAUGCAGGAAAAUAGAAUGUAUGUUCCGAAUAAUGAGGAAUUAAAGAAGGAAAUAUUGGAUGAAGCGCAUUGUUCAGCUUAUGCGAUGCACCCGGGAGGCACUAAAAUGUAUCAUACCAUUCGACCAUUUUAUUAUUGGCCAGGUAUGAAAAGGGAAAUUGCUGAGUAUGUGAGUAGAUGUAUUAUUUGCCAGCAAGUUAAAGCAAAAAGAAAGAAGCCAUUUGGGCGAAUGCAACCGCUUCCCGUUCCUCAGUGGAAAUGGGAAAAUAUAACCAUGGAUUUCGUGUAUAAACUUCCUCGUACACGAAACGGAUUUAAUGGUAUUUGGGUGAUUGUGGAUCGACUUACCAAGUCAGCGCAUUUCAUCCCAGUGAGGGAUAAGUAUCCUCUGAAUAAAUUGGCUAAGUUGUUCAUUACGAAGAUUGUGAAGUACCAUGGAGUUCCAGUGAAUAUUAUUUCUGAUCGAGACCCAAGAUUUACUUCUAAAUUUUGGGUAGCUUUUCAGGAAGCUUUUGGUACGCAAUUGCUGUACAGCACUGCUUAUCAUCCUCAAACUGAUGGGCAAUCAGAGAGGACGAUUCAGACGUUGGAAGAUAUGUUGAGAUCUUCGGUGUUACAAUUUGGUGAUUCCUAGCAUGAUCGUCUGGACUUGAUGGAAUUUGCCUACAAUAAUAGUUUUCACUCGAGCAUUGGUAUGUCACCAUUUGAGGCACUUUAUGGUAGGGCGUGUCGUACACCAUUGUGUUGGUCUGAGGUUGGUGAAAGAGUGUUAGAAGGCCCAUAGAUUGUGGAUGAGACAACUCAAAAUGUUCAGGUAAUUAAGUCUAACCUGAAAGCAGCCCAAGAUCGACAGAAGAGUUUAGCUGAUCGACAUGCCACUGAUCGAGUGUAUAAUGUGGGCGAUUGGGUAUUUUUGAAAUUGUCACCUUGGAGAGGUAUGGUACGAUUUGGAAAAAGAGGGAAGCUAAGUCCGAGAUACAUUGGACCUUAUGUGAUCACUGAAAGAAUUGGUGAAGUUGCCUACCGGUUGGAGUUGCCUCCGGAGUUAUCUAAGGUCCAUAAUGUGUUCCACGUCUCUAUGCUUCGACGUUAUAUUUCUGAUCCUUCUCAUGUGAUCCCUCCUCAGCCGUUAGAGAUUAAUCCAGAUUUGACAUAUGAUGAGGAACCAGUCACAAUCUUGGAUUGGAAAGAUAAGGUUUUAAGAAAUAAGACGGUGAGUUUGGUGAAGGUGUUGUGGAGGAACCAUUCCGUAGAAGAAGCUACCUGGGAGACAGAAGAUCGUAUGAGAGAGAUGUACCCAAGAUUAUUCUAUGGGUAUUAAGUGGUUUAAUUGGUUAUGGGAAUUUCGGGGACGAAAUUCUAUAAGGAGGGGAGAUUGUCACAGCCCGUACCGAGAUUUUCUUAUUCAGGACGUGAAAUGACAGAAUUGCCCUUAACGAGCAUUAAGGUACAUGGGUGUGUGACAUUAUUUGGUCUAAUCUUAGAUAUGUUUUGGAAGAAAAUAAAUAAGAUAAGUUGAUUAAAUAAGGUUAUUUGUAUUUUGUGGUUAGGGAUUAAGAUUGGUGUAUGGUUUUGGUUGGGCCACACACGCAGGACCUCUCCCUCUCUCCUUCCCCCGGGCUCACUCUCUCUCCUCCCUCACGACUCUCUCUCUCAGUCUCUCACUCUCCCUCACUCUCAAACCGUACGGACCAACACCCCCAAACCCUGAAACUUCACGGAUCGAAGGUGCUAAGGGCACCAUUGUGCUCGUGAAGGCUCUACGAACUCAAGGGCACCAUUUUCAGGUAAGGAAUCCCUCGUUUUCACGUUGAAAUCUCGAGGUCCGAAUUUGGCACUAUUCAUGAACUUUAUCUUGGUUGAUUUUUAGGACAAUCCAAGCUUGUAGUGAGCUUAGUGAGGUCCUAAGGAAGCUCGGGGACGUUCGUUUGGAAGUUUUGGACGUUGGGAUCACCACGUUCAAAGUUGGCCGGUUCUUGUAGAAUUUUUUCCGGUGAGAUUUCGUAGUUUUUAGAGCUUUAAAGUAGUAUAGCGUGAAACUACAUGUUGAGGGCUUCAUUUUGGUAUAAAAUACGAAGAAAAUGGUUGAGAAACGAAGGAGAACGAGACGUUCAAAGUUUGGCCGGAAACCGGCCGCCGGAAAGUUUAGUCCGGCGAGCCUGAGCUUGAAGAUGGUGCGCGUGGGGGCGCGUGUCCCCUUGCCUGUCCUGGCGCGUGGGGGCGUGCGGCCUCCAAAAAUUUUUCUAAAAAUUACUCGACGUCCGUGACGUCGAGUAGGUCGAUGUGGUAUAUUCAUAUACCCAAAUUGAGCAUCGUAUGAGAAGUUAUUUCGAAUUGUUGGUUAUGUGUUUAAAUUAACGUUUUUAUAGUUGUUUCGCAUAUAGGUGACACCUAUCCCGAGGACGAGCGCAUCCAGGGACGUCACGGGGGUUACGACCCAUCGACUUAUCAGUGAGUGGGCAGUUUUGUUUUCGUAUUACCUAUAUACAACUGUUUUUCCCAGAAAAUUCGUUUAUAUGAAAAUUAUGAUUUAAAUUGCCAUGCAUGCAAUUGUUGAGAUAAUUAGUUUGAUAAUUGAUGCAUAUAUAUGUGAAUUGACGCGGUGGACGCACAGGUGAGUUUUAUUAUUAUUCAGAUGAGUUAUUUUAUAUGAAUUGCAUUGAAAGCUCAUAACCUGCACCUAGGUGUUAGUGCUUAUAUUAUUAUUCACCACACCGCACGAUCGUCUUGGAUCCAAGUAGGUGGAUGUCGUAUAGACCAUGUGAGGGUUCCGACAUGCUAGUCGUAUAGAUCACUAGAUGUGAUUCCGACUAGUGGGUGACCUUAGUUAUGCGCGCUGAUGAUUGAUGAGAGAAGCACUAGAGCGUAUUUAUACACCUUUCAUCGUACAGACUACUAUACGUAGUUCCGAGUGAUGUGCAGUGUAGUGCCGUACAGGUCACAGUUUGUGACUCCGGCAGGGCCGUAUAGGUCACUGUGGUGACUCCGGCUGAGUGGGAUGUUGAGCUUUAGAAUCAGUCGUACAAGACUAUUGUAGGGUCUCCGGUUGAUUUAUUAUUUCACCUGAUUGAUAUUGAUGCAUUUCUGAUUAUAUUUGGCAUGGCGUGGCACAUUAUUUCUAAGAUGUUAUGUUGAUGGCUAUGAGCUGAGUUUUGAUGAUAUGUGUAUAUAUGUUUAUAUACUAUUUUUCUGGGAAAGUAUACAGGUUUUACGGUGAGGGGUUAGAAAUGUUUUAAAUGAAAUGUUUUGGAAAAUCUUUGAUUUUACUGACCCACUCAAUUUGUUUUGCGCCCCUCCAGGUUCUAGUUAGCGGUUGGUGGCUCUCGAGGUCUUUUUCGGCAUUCUGACAGAUGCUCUUCAUGUAGGACUCACCUGCGGGUGAUGUAUUUUAUUUUGGUCCUACUUGACUGCACUUAAACCUAUGCUCUGAAUUUAUGUGUUUACCUUAUAACUCAUCCUUUUAUUCUAGUAGGUGGUUCUACUAGAGAUUGAUUUGAACUCCUUCAUUUUCUGUUAUAUCUUGCUUCCGUGUCGCACUCUUGGUUACGUCACGCUCACGUGACGACCAGCACGCCUUGAUCCUCUGGGUCGGGGUGUGUCAAAUAUCAUAAGCAAAUUGAAAAGAAAUUACAUAUUUUUGCUAAGGCUCAUGGCCUCGCCCUAGCAAACGAAACUAGUUAAGAAUAAUCAUAAAACAAAAUAUUAUUACAAACAUGGAUAGAAAACACUUGGAAAAUAAACUUGAAUCCAAAAGCUCUCUAAAGUGUAGGCCUGGCAAUUCCUGACACGACCCGAUAACCCGACACGACACGACACGAAAUUAACAGGUGUUCGGGUCGACACGAUAACGAAACGGGUCGUUAUCGGGGAACCCGAUAAGCACCUGUUAAGAUAACGGGUUGGUUCGGGUAUACACGUGGGUAACACGAUACACGAUAAGCAGAAUAUUAAUUUAAUAAUUUUAUAACCCUAAAAAAAAUACUAUAAUAAUUAUAUAUAUUAAUUUAACAAUUUUAUACCCCUAAAAACUAUAAUAAUUAUAUUUAUAUAUAUAUAUAUUAAAUUAACUAUAAUAAUUAUAAUAAUUAUAUAUCCUAUAAUAAUUAUACCCCCAAAAUAUUAACUAUAAUAGUUAUAUUUAUAUAUAUAUAUAUUAAAUUUUAUACCCCUAAAAACUAUAAUAAUUAUACAUACAAAAUAAAUAGAUUUAAAUCUACUUAAUAAAUAAAUAAAUAUAUAUAUAUAUACACACACACACCAUUGAACUUCAUGGGAUACUAAUUAUACGAAACUAAUUUCAACGAUCUAACCGUCAAACUUGUUUGUAUAUGCUUCGAGAUCGCAUUAGCAAAAAAUUACAAAAAAAAAAACAUUCACAGAUCAAGUAACGAGACAAAACUUUCCGACGGUUAUAAACGAAAAAUCACGAUUUAACGGUUAUUUUAACUCCGAUUUUGAUGAGUUUUUACAGCUACACUCCUUGACCCAAUAUAAAUACAAUGAACGAUUUCGAUCUUCAAUUUAAAAUAUUUACACAAGUUAUACUUGAUGAAAGUAUAAAUAAACUCUUAAGUGUUAGUGAAUCAAUUGUUUUGAUGGGAUACGCAUUCUACGAAACUAGUUUCAACGAUCCAACCGUCAAACAUGUUUGUAUAUACUUCGAGAUCACAUACGCCAAAAAUUGCAAAAAAAAAACAUUCAGAGAUCAAGUAACAAGACAAAACUUUUCGACGGUUAUAAACGAAAAAUCACAAUUUAACGGUUAUUUUAACUCCAAUUUUGAUAAUUUUUUACAGCUACACUCCUUGACCCUAUAUGAAUACAAUGAAUGAAUUCGAUCUUCAAUUUAAAAUAUUUACACUAGUGGAUACCACAAAAUCUUAUGUUAUACUUAAUGAAAAUAUGAAUAAACUCUUAAGUGUUAGUGAAUCUAUUGUUUUGAUGAGAUACGCAUUUUGCGAAACUAGUUUCAAUGAUCCAACCGUCAAACUUGUUUGUAUAUGCUUCGAGAUCGCAUACGCAAAAAAUUGCAAAAAACAAAAAUUCAGAAAUCAAGUAACGGGACAAAACUUUUCGACGGUUAUAAACGAAAAAUCACGAUUUAACGGUUAUUUUAACUCCGAUUUUGAUGAUUUUUUACAUCUACACUCCUUGACCCUAUAUGAAUACAAUGAAGUGAAUUUGAUCUUCAAUUUAAAAUAUUUACACUAGUGGUUAUACUUGAUGAAAGUAUGAAUAAACUCUUAAGUGUUAGUGAAUAUAUUGUUUUGAUGGGAUACACAUUCUACGAAACUAGUUUCAACAAUCCAACCGUCAAACAUGUUUGUAUAUACUUCGAGAUCGCAUACGCCAAAAAUUGAAAAAAAAACAAACAUUCAGAGAUCAAGUAACAGGACAAAACGUUUUUACGGUUAUAAACGAAAAAUCACGAUUUAAUGGUUAUUUUAACUCCGAUUUGGAAACUUUUUUACAGCUACACUCCUUGACCCUAUAUAAAUACAAUGAAUGAAUUCGAUCUUCAAUUUAAAAUAUUUAGACUAGUGGAUACCACAAAAUCUUAUGUUAUACUUAGCGAAAAUAUGAAUAAACUCUUUAGUGUUAGUGAAUCGAUUGUUUUGAUGAGAUACGCAUUUUGCGAAACUAGUUUCAACGAUCCAACCGUCAAACUUGUUUGUAUAUACUUCGAGAUCGCAUAUGCCAAAAAUUGCAAAAAAAAACAAACAUUCAUAGAUCAAGUAACGGGACAAAACUUUUUGACGGUUAUAAAUGAAAAAUCACAAUUUAACGGUUAUUUUAACUCCGAUUUUGAUGAUUUUUUACAGCUACACUCCUUGACCCUAUAUAAAUACAAUGAAUGAAUUCGAUCUUCAAUUUAAAAUAUUUACACUAGUGGAUACAACAAAAUCUUAUGUUAUACUUGAUGAAAGUAUGAAUAAACUCUUAAGUGUUAGUGAAUCUAUUGUUUUGAUGGGAUACGCAUUCUACGAAACUAGUUUCAACGAUCCAACCGUCAAACAUGUUUGUAUAUACUUCGAGAUUGCAUAUGCCAAAAAUUGCAAAAAACAAACAUUCAGAGAUCAAGUAACAGGAUAAAACUUUUCGACGGUUAUAAACGAAAAAUCACGAUUUAACGGUUAUUUUAACUCCGAUUUUGAUGAUUUUUUUACAGCUACACUCCUUGACCCUAUAUGAAUACAAUAAAUGAAUUCGAUCUUCAAUUUAAAAUAUCUACACUAGUGGAUACCACAAAAUCUUAUGUUAUACUUAAUGAAAGUAAGAAUAAACUUUUAAGUGUUAGUGAAUCUAUUGUUUUGAUGGGAUACGCAUUCUACGAAACUAGUUUCAACGAUUUAACCGUCAUACUUGUUUGUAUAUGCUUCGAGAUCGCAUACGCCAAAAAUUGCAAAAAACAAACAUUUAAAGAUUAAGUAACGGGACAAAAAUUCUCGACGGUUAUAAACGAAAAAUCACAAUUUAAUGGUUAUUUUAACUCCGAUUUUGAUGAUUUUUUACAACUACACUCCUUGACCCUAUAUGAAUACAAUGAUUGAAUUCGAUCUUCAAUUUAAAAUAUUUACACUAGUGGAUACCACAAAAUCUUAUGUUAUACUUCAUGAAAGUACGAAUAAACACACUGGUGGGUCACUUUCAUUAAGCUUUGAGUUCCAUUGGCAAGGUUUAAACUUUUGAGAAAGGCUUCACAACCUUGAAAACAAAAACGCUUUCAUUUUGCAUAUCCUUGCACAUUUAAUAUUUGUAAUAGAUUAGUAGUGUAUUUUUUAUGAGGCUCUUAUUGUUGGAAAUGUGCCCUAAAGCCAAUCAUAUGAUGAUACUUUACGGACAUUUCACAUGUUAAACUAAUCU